CGCUCUAUCCAUUGUACGGCCAUAGCUCAGCCAAGACUCAUGUCACACUUUUGGCUGAUGAUUGGCUCUGUUAUCAAUUGUGACGCCCUGCUUCCUAUAAGGAGCACCCAUCCUAGAACUAUCUAGUUUUAGCACACUUAACCCUCUUAACCUCUUGAGUCUAACCACGGCCCAACAUUCUAUAGUCGGGUUAAGAGGUAUAGUCCUAUUAUCUCGUAUAUAGGACUAUUCUAAAUCCUGAGAGUGUUACAAUAAAUGAUGCAAAAUAAUCCAAAUUAAUUAAUAAAAUAAAAGUAUGGGGAAUUAUAUUAUCUUUGGAAUGAUAUUUUCCAAGGUUUAAAGUGCCGUGGCACGGUGGAGUGCCGUUACGUCCCUGGCACGGUACGGCACGGGCACGCUUGCGUGCCGACACGUGCCACGCUUGCGUGCUGAUAGAUACGCACAACCUCCUGCUGGCACGCUUUGGCACGGAUUUUUUUUAGUUUUUUUGAUUCCAAUAUACUCUUAUAAUUUUAUUUUGAAAGAUUUAAAUAAAUAAUUAUGAAUAUUUGCUAUAUAUAAUUUAUUAUACCGAUCAAUUAACAUGCAUGUGAGUUUUUUGUAAGUAAAGUACAACUAUACCUGAUGUAAAAUAGAAAUUAAAAUACAAUAAUAAAAUUCACAAGCAUAAUAAUUAUUUAAAUUUACAUCUUUACAUAAAGGAUGACUGCUUAAUUCCAUAUAGAUUGUUGCGCUUGAUCAUAUGGCAUAUUGUCAUCUGCUGAUACAAGAUUUAUUUGACAAUGUUGAUAUAAGUAUUGCCGUUAUUGUGAGAGAGUCAUAUAUUCCCGACAUAUGUCAUUGUAUUGUCGGAGAUAACCUGCAUAUGCAACUGGAUCGUGGAUAUAAUGGACAACAGUCAUCUGUGGCAUAUAGACUGAAGCAUUAUAAGGAUAUGGAUUGUAUGGAAUAGAAGAACCAUAAUGUGGAUAUGCAUGAGCGGACGAAGAUUCGCCGUAUGAGCUUUCACUAUGAAAUGGGAUGGAUUGGGAUCCACUCUGAGUGCCAUAAAUUGAUGAAUCAUAAUCAAAUAUUCCUCCAUAUAGGCCAUGUUGAUAUGAGAGAUGCGAUGAUAUUGAAGUACUAUCAAACUGUGUGUACAAAGUAUCAUCCCUUCGUGGAGGUCUAGUUGAUAGUGCCUCCAAACCUUCUCUCAUCUCCUCAUAAUCUUGUUGUGAGGACCUCCUAUCUUUUCGACGGUCAUAUACCACUCCGGAUGUUUGACGUGGUCGAGACCUAUGAUCAGCAUCUUGAGUGGUAUGUGUGAAGUUUUGUUCUUCAGUAAAUAUAAGACCACGGCCACCCUCACUCUCCUGUUGUGUUGGUGGAAUGAAGUCGCUACCAUCCUCACUACUAUCAGUGGUAUCAUUAUCAUCACUACAGUCAUCUUUAGACUGUGGUAAUCCAGAAUCUGCUGGUGUCGAUGUUUCACUAUCAUCAUCUUGUGGGAGUGCAUCAGCUGCAUCUAAUGGAUCCAUCGAUGUCAUACUUUUUUUACUCUUGUUAUACUUUUUUUACUCUUACCACUUCGGACUGUCGUUGAAGGCUUUUUGCGGUAUAAAACGUUUUCUCCUUUCCAGAUUGACUCUGAGUAUGGCGUGAACGACCAUAUCCAGGUCCUUGCAUAAGACGUUCGAAUUCUACAUCAGAGUCAUGUGUAGGAUUUUGGGAUUUUUCGUCCAAAGCUGUUUGUUCUUGCACAUUCCCUUGACACCUUCCUAUGUUCUCGUCAGCCCAUCUUUCAACAUUACUAAUUCCUGCUUCAUCAGCAAUUACUCUGAAUGGUCGUGGUGGAUCUCCAGGCUCAUCGAGUAAUGGGUCCUCUUGAUUGUCUCUAUCUUGUAGCCAAUCAAGUAUGGGGCUUGAUUCAUCAUUGAUAAAACUUGCAUCCAAGGGAUCAUAAGUUUUAAUUUCUUUUCCUUAUCAUACUCCUUUUGCAUGCAUUUUAAACGGAGCCUUAUAUUAUAGUGGACAUAAACUAGCUUUUCUAAUCGAGCGUACGCUAAUCGAUUACGCACUUUGGUAUGUAUUAGUGCGAACGUGCUCUAGUUGCGUUCACAUCCACUAGACGUUGUCGUUUGAGAUAAGACACACACAACAAUCUUUUUUAAAUGCUUUGCUGAUCCACCAUAUUGUAGCCAUCGCUAAGCUGUACAAUUAAAACUUAAAAAUAUAGCAAAUAAGAUUUAUCAUCAGCUGUAAACUGUCCAAAUUAUGGAGUUACUUACUGGGAUCGGUAUUGUAUCUUCCGUUAAUUGCACCCGCUUCACCAAAAGUUCUAGAGGAUUCAUGAAAUAUUUUUUCCUUUAUUAUGAUAAUAUAAUAAUUAGAAAUCAGCAUAUUAACAUCUAGCAAAUUAAUAAUACAUUGAAAAAAUAUUAUACCUCACUUAUGGCAAGAGCAGCACGUGUUGGAUCCCUCUCCAAUCUAUUGAUAACGUUUUGUAAUGCCUUCAACAGUUCAUCAUUAAAUUCAAGAUUAUAACGAUGAUGGUACGACGGAUUAAGAUAAUAAUCUAUCAUUAAGAAAGAAAUCACUCCAUUAACAAUACAAGAUUACUAAUGAACAAUCAAUAAUAAAUAGUUUUGUUAUAAUUUAUAACUGACCUGCUAGGUGUAGAUCCUUGCUCAUCUAGACGUCCCAACGUCUGUCAAUAACUUUUAGAAAAGAUUGACACCGUGGCGGAUUAAUUUUUUUAAUAUUAUCUUUAGCCAUCCUCAGUGUAUAAUAGACAUGUCCCAUUUGAGGUAUUUUUUUCCUGAUCCACUAAACGGAGGACCACAUAUAGCGGCUCCACAAUAUCAACAAUCUCUUUCACAUAAUCUCAAAACUUGGCAGACAGAAUUAUUUGCUCAAUCGAUUUUCCAUCAGCCGUAGAGGUAUAACGAGAUGUUUGCCAAUCAUCUGAUGCAAACAUGGACUUUAAUCCAUUUUUAUUUUGAAGGAUAUUGUUUAGAGCAAUAAAAUUUGUGGCAAAUCGUGUGAUACCAGGACGUACGAGUUCUCGUCAUGUGAAUUUCACCAUUAGAGCAUGGACCCAAAAAUGAUUAUACAAAUACUUAGAUACACGUUGUGCAGUAUCUAUAAUUUUUUUAACCCGAUUUAUCUCACCGAAGUCAGACAUUAUUCGGUUGAUGCAAUGCGCUGCACAAGGAGUCAAAAUAAAUGUGAAUGCCUUUGCAUUAAUAGUUUGCCAGCUUUUUUGAAAUUUGCACCAUUGUCUGACACAACUUGUAUCACACAUUUCUCACCAAUCUCACCUAAAACUUGUUCCAAUAAUGCAUAUAUAUAAUCGGUAUUUUCAAAUCGACCGGUCGCAUCGACUGAUUUGUGGAAAACCACCCUGCCAUUACAAUUGAUUAAAAAAUUUAUAAUGCUCAUUUCUGUCGGUCCUGUCCAACUAUCUCACAUCAAGGUAACACCAUACAUCUCCCAUUGUUGUUUGAAGGUUUUUACCCAUGCAUGAAUAUCAUUGACCUUCGCGUCAAGGUAUUUGCCAGAAAUCUCAUACGGCGUUGGGGGUUCAACUCCUGGACCCUCCUUUUGUAUGGUAGCGAUCAUUGAUCUAUAAUAUAGAGUAUUUGCUGCAUGGGAAGGAAUAUGAGUGAAGUGAAAAAAUUUCGCUAUUGCUCGACCAAUUUUGCUUUUUUUAAUCUUUUUUUAGCAUACUAUCUAUGCGCUGCUGUUGAGCAUCUGGGUCAGGAAAUGCCAUUGGGUCUAUAUCUAUAAUAUUUGGAUGUCUUCCGAUUUUUUCUUUUGGUCCUUUUUUAAAUCUAUUAAACAUGCGGCUAACAGAACCACUUCGAGCUAAAUCAGAUGGUGUAUAGCCAGACCCAGACCCAGACCCACCACCAGCAUCAAACUGAGGGCGUCCAAAUUGUGCUCUAUGUCGUUGGACUUCAUUUUGCUGCCAUCUUUCUUGUGCAGAUGCUUCCAUCGCAGCUCUAAUAUUAGGAUCUAAUUCAUCACCUAUACCUUCAUAUGGGUCAAUAGGGGGAUAUUCUGCCGCUCGUUUAUCUAGUUCAUCUCGACCGUCCCUUGCUUUCUUUUUUGCUAUUUUUGAAAAUUCUAAUUCAAUUUUCAUUGCAUGUUUUAUUUCCUGAGGGACUUUAGGGCAGUUUGAUACUUUAGAAAAACCCCCAGCGAUAUGUUUCUGUAGGCGAGUGACACCUCCGCCAAUUCCGACCAUAUUACAGUAAUUGCACUUCCAAUGAAAUCUAUUUCCAUCAAUCAUUUGUCCAUGUUGCCAACCAUAAUCUUCUGUUCUUUUAGGUGGUAUUAUGAUCUAUAAUUACUGACAUACAGACAACUCAAAUAAAUCUAUUUUAGAAAAAUAAAAAAAAGAACGACAGGAUAAAAAAGAAUCAUAUGUAUCAAAUUAGAAAUUUUUUUUUUUUAUUUAAAGAAAUUAUAACAGAGAAAAUUAUAGAAAAUUUUAUUUUUUUAUAAUUUUUUUUCAAAAUCUAUAUAUUGAUUUGAUUAGAAAAGCAUAUAAUGAGUAGAACAAUCAAAAUAGAACUGCAAUUACAUUCAUAAUUUUUUUCUUUUUUAUUCUUUUAAAAAAUAUUUGAUCAAAAUUCUAAGAAAAUAAAUGUUGAAAAAAUUCUUCGAAAAUCUGUUAGAAACUUAGAAUUGAUUAACUUUUAAAAUUCUUUUCAUUUUUUUUCUUUCUUUUAUUCGAAUUUUAAUAAUUUAUAAAAUAUAAUGUUAAAGAAAUAGUUUUCUGGAAAUUUUAAUUUUUAAAACUUAAGUAUCAAUUGAUUUAAUUUAGCUUCUGAUUUUAUCAAUAUUUUAAAUCUUCUAAUGCAAAAAUAAAAUUUUAAGAUUAAUGUAACUCAAAGUUUGUUUACCUUGAUUCGCCAAAAGUUUCGCGGUGUGAAAAAGUUUGAUAACAUAAUUUGUGAAAAGAAAAUAGAUGUUUGUGGUGGAUCGAAUAUAUCAAUAAAAAUUAACUCCUAUAUUUAUAAAUAAAACAAUUAAAUUAUAAUUUCUUUCACUUACCUAAUAAGCAAAUCUGCAAUAUGCAACGUCUUUGGCCCCUUUAAAUAAUUUUAGGAAGAUAUAUCGGCACUGAGAAGAAAAAAAAGAUAGAGAGUAAAGGAGAGGAUAAUCAAGAAAGAGAGGGGGAAGUUGCCUGAGAAAGAGAGAGGAAAGUUUCCUUAAGUAGACGAAGGGGGGAGGGCGAACAUGACAAAAAAAAAAAAGCAUCCGCAGUCAAAAGAAAACCACCAAAUGCAAAAAGACAAAAAAAAAAAAGAAGCAAAGAGCAUCAGAAGGAAAAGACGAGGUGGAGGAUGGGGGAGGGGGGGGGUGAUCAUGAGAAAAAAAUAGCAUCUUGGCCUUUGGGUUACCCAAAGGCCAAAACCCCCUCCAAUAAAAAGACAACCCAAAAGCAUCUCACAGUGCAAAAGAAAACCAACAACUACAAAAAGACAAAAAAAAAAAAAACCAAAAAGCAAAAGAAAAAAAAACAGCUCUUUGCGGCACGGCAUAGUAUCGCGGCACCCUCACACGUGCCGCUUUGUCUCGUGCGGCACGCGCAGGGUGCCGCGGCACACAGGGUGUCACGCCCCAAUCCCCGUCAAUUUGGUCGGGUUUAGGUCACGUCAACAGACGCCGAACGGACAGCAUCUCCUCUGUCCGCCCAAGGCUCAAACAAUAUGUAUAAUUAAACAAACAACAAAGAGAUUUUGUAAUUAUACAAGGCUUGCACGAGGGCAAGCAACAACGGAAGCGAAAGCUCUAAGCUAAAUAUACAACCAUACAUGAUAUUUGAUUACAUUUUAACCAAAUACAAGUAAACUACAACUAUUACAUUCAUUUUCCACUCAACCAUAAUUCUUUACAUUUUUGUCAUUCCCCAAAAUACAUGAUAUGUUUUCAACUUUACAAUUCUAAAUUAACAAAAUAAAAGUUGAUACAUGUAGGCAAAAGAAUGACUAAAAAUGUAUAAGUCCCGGUGGGCACUAGCUAUGGCGCAAUACCCUUGCCUCGGUCCUCCGCCGCCCCGCUCGCGCUCGGACCUGUAGAGUUCGUGGUGUGAGAACUACAACGAAGUUCCCAGUGGAUUCGUCAACCGACCUCGCCGACUUACCCAUUAGGUCUAUUCAGGCAUAAGUAUUUCAAAAGAAAGGAAAACCGUAACCAAUGCUAAUGCUAAUACUAUGCCCGUAAGAAAGAUGUCAGUGGAUAUAUAAUCAAAAAUAGAAUGCUCAUGCAUGCAUGCUUGUUCCAUAACUUUACUUUGGCUUUUACCCAAUCUUGCCGGUUAACCUUGUUAACCCUAAAACUCACCAUCAUAAUUCCUGUCUACCGGGGGAGGCUUUAGGCUCAACCACCCGAGGGUCCGUCAACGGGGUGCUUUCCCCGUGGUGUCUACACUCCGGAGUACACCGCUUGAGGAGGAGCUACCUCCCUCAAGCCUAGUUAAUGUGAGUAUCAAUCCAAUCCUCAACUUGAGGAUACAUAACCACUAGUCACAAUGCUAUUUCUAUAAUAGGUUUCUACCUAUUUCUUCGUGCCACUUUCUAAGUCAUUCUCGUCACAAUGCCACUAAUUGUUAAACCUUGUUUACGAGUCAUGUCUCGAUGCCAAUCAAGUCUCUAAUGUCAAUGUCACCUUUAUUACUAUUAUCUUGGUCCAAGUCUCACAUUCACACAAGUGUAGCGUCUCAACAUUCAUGUCCGCUAUGGCUCAAAUCAUUUUUCAUGUUCAACUACGUUAGAAGCAUAUAAAUGAAAUUAAACCAUCAUUCACAUGUGAACUACCCUAAUAUGCAUGAAUGACUCUAUAUACAAGUAUGCUUAACAAAGGUGAAAAUAGACAUAAAGGGGAAUCCGAUGAUUCCGGCGUGCAACCCCCACUUUAAAUAUUAUAGAUGGGUUGUAGUUCGACUCUCAUGAUUUUAGGACGCCUCUCCCGCGACCUAUACCCAAAAUAGUGCCGAAUUAGGCCCUAUACACAAGAUCUCUUACUUAACCUUUUCGUAACGUUAAACGGAGUUGUCCCACGCGUCGGGAAUACCCUCAAUUAGGUUUCCAAGAGGUCAAUUUACCUCGGAAACAACCGGAGGCAAAAGCCUCAAAAUCCAUGCCCUAACAAUGCCAUAUUUAAAUUUCUCCUAGAUUGAUCUCAUCUCUAAGCAAAUGAUAGCUUAGAAUCACCUAGAAAGCUCUCUAAUACUAUUACCAAGCCUCUAGAACCAUUCCUAGGGCAUCAAUUUUGGAUUCUAGCAAUCCACCAUGAGAGCACCUUGAGAAAACCAUGUUUUCAUGGUGUUCAAAGCUCUAUUACACUUCUAAAGUCUCUAAAGAGACCAAAACUCCCAAAACCUAGGGUGAAAUCCAAACCCUAGAUGGCUUUACACUAAAACUUACCUUAGCCAAGAGCUAUCUCCAAGUCCACCUUGAUGGAGAGCUCCUAGAACCACCAAAGCCACCAAAAUCCCUUCAAAUCUCCUUCUUCUCCUUCACCACCUUGCCCUAGAGUGAGAUCUCUAGAGAGAGAAAAAGAGAUAUGAGAGAAAGAGAAGGAGAGGGGUGUUUGCUGUGAAGGGGAGAGAGGUUGGGGCAAUAACAUGUUGUAACAAUUACAACUAAGCCUCCCAAAAAGUGUUAUUUACAGCAGAUCUCAAUGUUGCUGCCAGACCAAAGUGUACCGGUACACGGGAUGCUGUCACCGGUAAUACGAUUACGCAUAGGCAAACGCGAGAGCAAUUCUUGCAGGUUUUACCAAAGUGUACCGGUACACACCAGGGGUGUUACCGGUAACACAGUCAAAUUUUCUCAAACCCGAGAGCUUCUAUCUCUCGGUUUGCUGGCCUGUACCGGUUACAACUCAAUGGUUGUACUGGUACACUUUGCCCAGAAUGCAGUUUUAGUUCCGAUUCUACUCUACUUCGCGCCGGUCGAUGCUAAAACCUUUCUAACUCUUUCUAAACUUACUUUUAGCCCUUCCAACAUCAUUGGAAUGCUAAUGCAAUUUGUCCAUCCAUCUUUUUCGCAUACUUUAGUCAAUUUGGCUAAAGUUCGAUAAUUUCUUCCGAGUUUCAAUAUGUUACACAGGAGGGGUUCGAGACCCCCGCUGUACCGUGCCCCUAUCUUGGGGGCACGGUACAUGCCGCACUUGCACGGUGCGGCACGCACGAAACUUUAAACCUUGAUAUUUUCUAUAUGCUACACCAUAUUCCAAGUUUACUUAUACCUACACUUGUGAAUGCCCAAAUAUAUAGGGGAAUAUGUGUCACGCCCCGAGACCGCUACCAAUUUGGUCCGGUUCGAGCGCGUCGAACAGACGCCGGACGGACAGCACCUCCCCUGUCCGCCCAAGGCUCAAAGGUAAGAUCAUGUACAUAGAAUUGCCCAGGAAUAAUUCAAUACAUACGCGAUCCAACAAGGAGAGAAGCACAAAGAGUGCAAUACAACAAGAGCAAGUAACACAAGUGUACAUACAAGUNUUAUCUGCCCCGUUUCAUACAGAAAAUUCUAAAUCUUCUGUUUUCGCUCCGAUUUCAACACGGGCCAUUCUAGACUUAUAUUUUAUGUCUAUAAGUCCAAUAAAAUAGUAUUUCACACUAUUUUCAUUUAUAUUUAUUUUUAUAUUAAAAUUUCAGCAUACUACACCCCACCGCAACUUCAUAAUUUAAGAAGUUCGGUACCUUACAAUAUGCCCCCUCUUAAUGGGAAAUAUUAGGGAUCUUCAAAUUGAAGCAUAAUAGCAAAACCUAAAUAAUGAAACCAAAAUUGAUAUGAAUAAGAAAAGUAUUUAAUAGGUGAAAAGAAGAAAGGAAUGGCUUGGGUCAAAGGCGCACUGGAAAGCACUAUCUUAGAAUCAAUUUUUGAUCUGUUCCCACAUCUCAACUUCAAGCUAGAAGUACAACGGACUCUGCUCUCCAUCUAGUAAGCGCUAGGGAUGCAAGUAGGGUGGAUCUAGGCGGGGGGCUGUUUGGAAAUGCCGCUUCGCCUCCCGCUUUGCCAACCGAAAUCCGGCCUUGACUACCACUCCAAAUUCGUUGAGAGGUCAAAAAAAGAAUUCUAUAAUCCGCCCUGCCUCAAAAUUGCCUCCCGCUGGCUCCCUAAAUCUGCCUUGCCAAGAAUUUCCUUUUUUAUAAUUAAACACAACCAACAUUUUGUAAAUUUAAAUUAACAAAUUUUCCAAUUAUAGUGGACAAUAUAAUCUAGAAAUAUGAAAAAUAUAAAUAAUUAACAAUAUCAACCACAAAAGCAAAGUAUCAAUCACAUUUCAGCAAAUUAUCAAAAAUCUACUAGAACUCUAGCAACAACAACAUUCGCAACUGUAGUACACCAUUUAGGAAAAAAGAAAGAAACUGGUUUGAAUAACCAAAAAAUCCUCUAGAAUUACAACAACAACAACAUUAAAAGGAGUUCUAAGAAAUGUCAACCACAACAACCAAAUCCACCAAAGCCAUCACAACAAUAUUACAAAGUCUAAAUUUGCCAUAUCCAUGAUAACAAGAUUAGAAAGUCUUAGUAGCAGAUAAAUGGUUCAAAACAAAUACAAGUUUGCAGAACAUUGGAAUUCUUGGUAAUGGAAUAAACAAACAUGGCCUCUCUGCAAGUUUCCAUAAGAUAAAAACUCAUCAUCUCAUGAUUGUCCUUUCCUUAUGCACAAACAAAAAUUAAGAGAAAAAACUCAGUUAAAUAGUGUGUUAAAAUUAACAUUAAAAUUGAAUAUAAUUUAAAGAGUAAAGCAAUCCUAUAUCUCAUCUUCAACAUUAUAGCCAUCAUCACAUUUGCCAAACUAGCAAUUUGACUUAUAGCUAGCUAGUAGAAUUGUUUAGCUGAUAUGCUAAAAUUUGAAAAUGACAUAAAACAAUUGAUUUGCCUUCCAAUUCAACCCACAACCAAUUUUUUACACACAUUAAAUCCAGUAAAGUUUUUGGAGAAAUCCUACUCCUAUAUGGAUUUAUAUUUCUACAGCUGAUACUCAAUGAAGAUAUUGAAGCCACCUUGGACAUUGAAUCUCAAGAAUGUCCCUUCCAAUUAGUUGUAAUGCGGGAUACUUGAGUCUAGUAUUCCUCCACUACCCAAAAUGUUAAAUCUUCUGACCUUGGCAAUAUAUCCUUCUCUAAAUAAAGGUCUAACUUUGACUUUACUGAUGAAUUAGUUAUUCUUUUAAUGGCAGCAAGAAUAUCAAAAUGUUUAAAAAACUUUGAAAUGCAAGAUGUAUCGGGUAUAAAAGUUUCUGUCACAGUUGAAGAUAAUGUUCGAAAUGAGUUAGGUUGACUUGUCUCAUUUUUGCUUCGACUUCUGUACUCUUGAAGCAAACUAUAAUAUAUGUCACGAAUUUUUUGAACUUCAUCACUUGCAUGUUCAUUGAUUUCAUUGCAAGCUACCUGUCACACCCUGCGACCUGCCAAUUUGGCCGGAUUCGGGCACGUCGAUCAGACGCCGAACGGAUAGCACCUCCCUUGUCCUCCCAAGGCUCAACAAGCAAUCAUGUACAAAAGUUGCCCAGAAUAAACUCAAAUAACAUACAUGAUUCAACGAAGCACCACAAGUGCUAUACCAACAAGAGCAAGGUACAAGUAAAUAUACAAGUGCAUAAAGAGAGAUAGUUCUAGCUAUUACACCAUAUUUGACAUUCAACAUUUACAUAUAGAUUUACAACUUUCUUCUCCCAAAAUAAAUACAUAUUCUUCUCAUAAUAUAUACAUCCCUAGCAACCUCACCAUCAAAGUACAUAAGUCGCUCGAACCAUAAUACAUAACCUCUCAAAAUGGUGCCCGACUGUAAUGCAUAUAGGAGGUAACUAGCUAGCUAGAGCGCUAUGCCCUUACCACGGUCCUCUGCCGGUGCUCUCUUGCUAGGCCCUGCAACAAAGUGGGGUGAGAACUAUAUAAAUAUAGUUCCCAGUGGGUUCGGCCGCCGACUCCGUCGAUCUUCCCACUAGGUCUAAGCAUGCAUAAGCAACAGAUAGAUAGGUAUGUAUGAAAAGAGCUACUGCAUAGUAAUGAAAUAUACAUAGUAGAAAUAUACACAUGCUACUAUGCCUCUGUAAUCAUGAAAUGCAUGAACAUAGCAAUGAUAUUCUACUAAUCAUGAUACUAUGUCUCAAUAUACAAUUGAAUGAGCUACUACAUAGGAUGUACUUUACAACAUGCACUAUGCCUCAUAUUCAAUGAAAUGUAAGAGCUACUACAUAGUAUGAAUCUACAACAUGAUACUAUGCCUCAACAAUAAAGAAAUGAGCUACUACAUAGUAAUGUCUCUACACAUGCUACUAUGCCUCAACAAUAAAGAAAUGAGCUACUACAUAGUAAUGUCUCUACACGUGCUACUAUGCCUUAAUGAACGAUAAAUGAGCUACUACCUAGUAUAUGAUCUACUACACGACACUAGGCCUCAGUAAUCACAUGAAUGAACGAGCUACUACAUAGUGCGUCGUGCAACUAUGCCUCGAUAAUCAAAAUGAACGAGCUACUACAUAGUGCGUCGUGCAACUAUGCCUCGAUAAUAGUCAAUCUCAUGGCCAACUCGAAGGUUGCUACCCCAAGGCCAACUCGAAGGUUGCUACCUCGACUCACAUCUCAAAUCUCGCUAGUGGGGAUAUACUACCCGAGACCCGUCUGCGGGACAACUAUGUCUGCCCUAACGCGACUAAUACUCCGGAGCUCACUACUUGGGUGGAGCGACCAUGCCAAGGUUACACAGACUAUGUGAGUAUGAUCCAAUCCCCCCACUGGAGGAUACCCUAUCUACUAAGGCCACAAUGUCUCAACUGCACUAAUGCCAAAUGCAUAAUGUCCACAACAUGACAAUCGGGAAAUCUACUAUCCCUAGGUUCAAAUGCCAUAGUGUUCAACUACACUAAUUUGAAUGCCACUCGUAUGUCAUGAUGUUGUAUGUGUCUUAAUACACUAAAUUGACAUGCCACUCGUCCAUAUUAUAGUGUGUCUAUUACACUAGUCCAAAUGCCACUCGUCAUGUUAUUAACCUUGUUUACAUGCCACUCGUCCAAGUUCCAAGUGUUUUCAUUACACUAAUUCACAAUCCAUUGGUUCUCAUUACCAAGUUUAAGUUCACCAUAUUCUCAUCACUAUAGGAUCUCAUGUUACCCGACCCAAUCAUCAUGCAUUCUAGGUUUAAGUGUCGAGCCCACAAUGCUACACUACUAGACAUGGAUGCAAGGAAGUAGAAAUGCAACUACAACAAUCACCUAUAAUGCAUAAGAAUAAAGAAUAAUAUAUGAAAUAUGAUCAACAAUUCUAACUCGGACAUAGAAAGAAGCCCAGUUGCUUCGGGAUGGACACUCCCCACCUUUUACUGUUACCAGGAGGCUAGGGUUCCGUUCUUGUGAUUUUAGGAAGCUUUCGCCGCGAGCUGCGGCAAUCUAUACCUCAACAGGCCUUUUCUUCAAUAUCUUUGCACAGGCUCGACGAAUCGUCGAACCGACUUCGCCAAUGCGUCAAAAUACCUAGCAAUUAGGUUUACAAUUAUUCAAUUUAGAUCAAUCCCAACUAUUUCUUAAAACCCCAUUUUGGAGCCCUAGAAUCUUCCCAAUGCAAGAAUCAUCAUUUCCUCUUAGGAUUCAUGCAUUGACCCUCUAUUUAGCAUCCAAGGAGUGCAUAAAACCCAUUCUAGGAGCAAACAAUUGAAGUCCUAGAAGUCUACCAUGAGAGGAGCUUCAAAGCUUACCUCUACGGAGCUAGCUCUCCAAGCAAAGGAAGAAGAAAGCAAUGGUGGUCCUUCUCUUGAUCUUCUUCUCUUUCUUCUUCUCCUUCCUCUUCUCCUUUUUUUUCUUCUCCUUCUUUUCUUUCUAGAGAGGGAGAGAGUGUUUAGGGUUGAAAUGGUGAGAGAAAUGAGAUGGGAGAGAGAACCCAUGCUUCUAUAGCCUCUCAUAAGUGCAAAAUUGCAGAAAACACCCUCAACAAUGCCAUUCACGCAACAGCCCAAAAUAGGCAUUUUCGGGCUUCGGGGACUGGUCUCUCCUUGCCUGGGACCGGUCCCAGAGAGACCUCCAGCCCAGACUUAGCAAAAUUUCAGCUUCCUCACCGUUUCUUCUUCGUUUUCGCUCGUUUUCGUUCGUUUUCGCUCGUUUGACCUCCGAUUCUUUUCAAAUCGAAGCGAGACUCUCCAAACAUGUUUUCGAGCGUAUUUUCCUCAUCUUUUCAUCCACGCUAAUGGCGGAUUUAGUUCACGACCCAACAUAGCCUUUCGGGUCUCGUUUCCGCGCCUGCGCGCACCGAAACGUCCAAAGGCUCCCGAACUUCACCGAACUUCACCGAAACCAUUCAAAUGGCUUUCCAAACCAAAUGUACACCGUAACUUCAUAAUUUUAGAAGUCCUGUACCUUACACUACCUCUAACAUUGUUAACUUAUAUUUAGUAUUCAAUAUACAUGCAACUCCUACUAUCUUGUGAAUCACCUGACCAAUACUUGUUGAAUUUUGCUAACAUCUUUCUGCCAUUGAUCUCACUAGAUCACUUGAAAAUAGUGAGUCUAUCCACUCACACAAGUUUGAUUGAAUACUACAAAUAUAAGAUGUUGAUUCGCUGUUGAAUAGUCCUUGAAAAAUGGAAUAUAACACCUAAAAGACCUCCAAUUUGCCACACAUUACUUUGGCUCUAAUCCAGUCCUGCACUAGCAAAUAUUUGUAGUUAAAUUCAUGGAGCUAGAAUUAGGGAUGUCAAUGGGUGUGGAUAUUCGAAAUUUUAUCCAAACCUGAACCCAAAGCUAGAAUGUUACGCCCUGAGGUUCAGUCUAACCUGGGCAUGCCCACAGAUCAGUCGCAUACACAGAAAGCCCUGUGCACACGAAGCGAUAGUAGUACCUAUAAAGCAUAUAAGAGCGAGUACAAGGAAGUAACAGAGUUGUAAAAAAACUACUAAAACUGAAACAUAGUCCACUGUACAUAUAUAAUAUCCAAGAAGUAAAAAACUAAAAUCCAUAAAUACAAGCACUACCUCUCAGAACUCUGAACUAUAAAAUAGAUAAAUCUGUAUGGACAAUGACUAUAUACACAAACUGUCUAACAAGGGGUACUCCACUAGCUCAGCAACUAGGGUAGGUAGGGAUCUAACUCGCAACUCCCUUACCUCGAUUAGUGGCAACAGCAGGAACGGAAAACUUUGCAAGAAAAAGGGGUAACAACGAUCGUGAGAACUACUAUAAAGAAAAGUAGUUCUCAGUGGGUACCGUCACCGAUGCCAAUGACCUACCCACUAAGUCUACGAAACUAAAAGAUAGAACAUGGUAAGUAAGGGAGCAAAAGUAGUAAAGCUAGAAAGAAAUCUACAGCUAAUAUGCUACUACACUACCAAUGCUCAAUUACACUAUCACUGUAUAUAUGCAUCAACUAUCUAUUGAGAAGACUCACUAACUCAAUUUGAAUGACUGCCAUAAGGCCGGUCAAGCCUACCCCAACCUACCACCACGCACUACCCACAGGGUAACUGGUCCUAUAUAAGUCGCGCAAAAGGGCUGUUGCAACAUCAACGCACUAAUGGCAAAGCUCCGGAGCGGCACUCGAGGGGCGCGACCCCAUCGAGGAAAGGCGUAGUUUGUGUCGAGCUCAAAUCUGGCUUAUGCAGGAUGUAAUCGAUGCAAUGAUCAAUCAUAUUAGAAAAUUGAAACUCAUGUGCCUUUGGCACAAUCUAAUAUCAAAAUUCAAGAUCUGGGACCACCAUUAGCCUAGACGGUACCCAACUAUACAAAACGGCCUAAACUCUGCUGUAAAAAUUUACUCGGCACCUCAGCACGAUCGUAAAUACAACCUACACUAAUCUGCGUACUCGCAGCUCACUAAUAAGGGUGAGAAAGUAGUAAAAAUAGUUACAGAAGUUAAUUCCUAACAAUGGCAAUUAAUUUGUUGAAGUGCAGGUUUUCUUCUAAGUCAAAUCCCAAUUCAGCAUUUAAUAAGCUUCUAAAAACAAGUAUAUCACACUCCAAAUUCAAAUUUCAUAAAUAUACAUGUAAAUCUACAAUUUGGGCUAAUAAUGAGUAUGAUCGAGACACAAUUGUACAUGCUGAAUUUUACUACACAACUUAAGAGGUAUUUCGAUGAAUUGGGUAACGUUAACCCACCUAGCGUGCUAAUCCAACCACGGAUCGAAUUGAAACUCCACAAGCACCUUUCCCUGGCUCCAAUUAAAAGAGAAGUGAAGACGAAUUCCAAAAAUCCAUGCCGGAUUUAACGGAAUCAAUAGCCGAAUAAAAUUUCUAAUGAAAGUCAAUAUUACAUGGGAAUUCGACUUCGGAAUCAAAUUUACUUGAUUAGAAGCCAAUGUAUCUGAAAAUUCAGCUUGGAGCAACUUUGGAUCAGCUACAAUUUAGGCAUGAAUCAGCUAAAAUCCCCUAAAAACCACCCACAAGAAAGUUGGAGUCACAACUCUCAAAGAUGAAGCUUCACCAUUGAAAAUCAGCAUUACUACCAAAAUUACCUCAAUUGAAGCUUAAAUCCUCGACAAUUCGGCUAAAUAACUUGCUCCCCUAGCUCCUCACAACCAGAUAGUCCUAGAGGAUGCUUCAAUUUAUCAGCUUGAAGCGUCAAAAUCUAUCAAUUUCACUCUCAAGUUCAGUGGCUACUGCUGGAAUGUGAUACUCCAAUAGUCCCACAUCGGAUGGGAAUGGGGUUGUCAUUGGAUAUAUAAGAGGACUCCGCCCUAGUAAUAAUAACUGGGCUUAAGCAUUUUGGGCUGGUGGUUUUGGCCCAACGAGUUAUUAUUGCUGGCGAGUCGGGUCGUUACAUAGAAUGCACUGCUGUAGCUGCUGCUGGACUGCAGCUUGAUCCUGCCUACCUUGAUCCACAGCAAAAUCCAAGGCAAGAUGAGAAUAGGGGGCAAUCCAUGGGUGACCUCUAAUUUCUACACUACAAGAAAAAUUUAUAAUUUACCACGAAAUUCUAUCACAAUUAGAAAAUAGGGGUCAAGAAUUCAGCUUCAACGUAAAAACUGUUUUUCAGUUUUUGACCUCAAUGAAAACUGGAAUUCUCACUCAUCUUACCUCCAAAUAGGUCCAAACAAGAUUCUAACCACUAGAGGAUGAAGUCAAGAUCACACCCAACCCUUCCAAAGCUCAACUCCUAGAAGAAAUUCGAACGGAUUUUAUCAAAAUCCAAAAUUGGUUCAGUUCAGUCCAAAAUUCAGCAUUAUGCACCAUCUUGAUGAACAUUAAAUUUAGAGCUACUAACCUGCAAAUCCAGCACAAGGAAGGAUGAACAACCCUAACAACCCCAAUUCAAGUCAUGAACCUUCAAUUUCGAAAUUGAUCUACUCAAAGUCCCCCCAAUUACUGUUAACAAGUCAAAGAUGCAAGUUGGUUCACAAGAACACUACCAUUGACCAAAUUGAAAUUUUAGCUUAUGCUUGCAAAAUUACUCGCCUACAAAUGCUCUAAAAUACUCUAAUAUGCAAUUCCAGCUGGUACUAAAGUACAAGAUGAGUUCCUACACUCUUCCUUACUUCCCCGCAUCACCAAUUUCGAAGUUAAAGCCAAGGUUUUAAGUGCCCGUCGGCACGGACCGUAUCCACUAUGCCGUACCAUGCCAACAAGAUACCGGCAUGAUACACACCCCGUGCCGAUGGCACAACUCAAAACCCUCUAUUCUUUAAAUUAGUAAAUAAUUUUCUCAAUAAAGUUCAUUAAAGAUGUGAUAAAAAGACAUAAUAAAUAGUUAGAGUAUUUUGUUGCUAAAGAAAAUAAAUAUUUAAUGCUAUUAUAUGUUGGCACACAAGAAUUUUUUUGAUCGGCAUACAUCGGCACAACUCGGCACGCACCGUGUCAUACCGUGCGGGCAAGUUUCCGGCACGAUCCCGUGCCACGACACUUAAAUCCUUGGUUAAAGCCUCCCGCAAGAAGCUGUCCCAGAAGUGACCUCGCUCGCUGCAGCUCAAGGUCUUUGAUCCAAUUCCAGGAAAUUCCAAGCUAGUAAUAGGCAAAACUUGAGCUCCGCUACCCUCCCCUCCUCCCUAAGAAUCUAAAUUUGAAAAUGGAGCUACAAGAUGCUGCACAUGAGCAGUCCAACGGGGGGUUGCAGCUGCCGUCCUACAGGCUGUAGGUGCCGCUGUUAUUGCAGCCUGCUGCUGUAGCUAUUGCAGCCUGCAGCUGCUUCGAUUAUUGCUGCGCAAGCUGCAGCUAUCCAGCUGCAAAUGGGGCUGCUCCUAGAUGAGUUGAAGAAGAUGUAGGGAAAGGUAUUGAAGACGCAAAAUCCUGUUGCUACUGCUAGUGACUUCCACUUCUUUGCUGCUGCUGCUAUUGCAAUACUCUGCUGCUGCUGGCAGCACCUAUGGGCUGAAUGCGUAGGGAGUGGAGAAGUGUGAGGAGAGGAGAGGAGCAGGGAAAUGCGGGAAAAAGGAAGAGAGUAGUGGAGAAGAAGAAGAAUAAGAAGAAGUACAUGGCAAGGUUUCCAUUUAGUGGUAGUUGAAUGGUGAUAACUUGCACACUUGACCACUAACAAGCCUACUAACAUGGUCUAAAAACAAUAAUUUGUGACGUUAAUUUCGUGUCAAAACAAUUCCAACUUGUCCUAACACAUUGGAAAUAUCGACGAGUUGCUGAAACCAAGGUUUAAAGUGCCGUGGCACGGGGUGGUGCCGCUGUUUGCCUAGCAUGGUACAGCAUCGGCACGCAUCCGUGCCGACACAUUGUACGCUUGCGACCUUGCGUGCUGAUGGAUACGUAUGACCUCCUACUGGUACGCUUUGGUGUAGACUUAUUUUCAAUUUUUUUGGUUUCAAUAAGUUCUUAUAAUGUUAUGUUGAAAGAUUUAAUCAAAUAAUUAUGAAUAUUUUUUAUGUAUAACUUGCUAUAUUCAUCAAUUAACAUACUUGUAAGCUUUUUUGCAUGUAAAGUAUAGCUAUACCUGAUGCAGAAUAAAAAAUUUUACAACUUAGAAUUUUAAAAAUGCAAAAACAUCUUUCUUUCUUUCUUUCUUUUGACCAUAUUACAGUUUUUAUUUUAUAAAAUACAAAAAAAAAAUUUUUAAAAUAAUUUUUAAAAUUAAGAAUUUAAAAAAUGCAAAAACAUCUUUCUUUCUUUCUUUCUUUCGACCAUAUUACAGUUUUUAUUUUAUAAAAUACAAAAAAAAAAUUUUUAAAAUAAUUUUUAAAAUUAAUUAAAAAAAUUAAUUUUCAAAGUAUUUGAAAAAAUUAUUUUUUAAUUAAUUUUUUCAAAAAAUUAUUAGAUCUAUCAAAAAAAUUAAGCAAUAAAUUAUGUGACAAAUAAAUUAAAUAAAUUUAAGUAUCAAUUGAUUUAAUUUAGCUUUUAAUUUUAUCAGUAUUUUUAAUCUUCUAACGCAAAAAUAAAUUUUUAUGUUUGAUGUGCUUCAAAAUUUGUUUAUUGAGUUCGAUUUUGUUCCCUUAAUUCGCCAAAAAUUUCGCGGUGCAACAAAUUUUGAUAAAAUAAUUUAUGAAAAAAAAUGGAUGUCUGUGGUGAAAGCUAAGGGCUCAGACCGAUAAGGCGGGUGCGAGGGGCUUCGCCUCCUGCGGUAUGGAUCGGAUAAUAUAAAUUAAAAAUUUUCCCAUAUAUUGAUAAACAAAAAUAAUUAAAUUAUAAUUUUUUUGACUUACCUAACAAGUAGAUCUUCGAUUUGCAAUGUCCUUGGGGGGGGUGUGGGAUGCUUCGUGGUAUCCCAAAAAACAAAACAAAAAGAAAAAAAAAAGCAAAAAGCAAAAAAAAAAAAAGUGUGCCAACUCGGCACAGUACCAUGGCACGGACUUGUGUAUUGCUCUGUCUCGCGCGCUACGCAGGUCCGUGCCACGGCAUGGAGGGGGGUUUGAGACCCCCUUGUACUGUGCCCCUUGUAUUGCUCUGUCUCGCUCUUGGUGGCACUAUAUGUGCCGCCCCAUGCUGUGCGGCACGGUGCGGCACUUUAAACCUUAGCUGAAACUGUAAUUGUUCGGGACAGUUAAAUUUUUCGGAACACUACAGAGAAUUAGGGAUAUCAAUGGGUAUGGAUACCCGAAAUUUUAUCUGAACCUGAAUACUGAACGCAAAUGGAGUGGAUUUAUCUGAUACUAAACGGAUAUAGUUUCAAAUACGGAUAUAAAAAAUGAAAACCCGAUAAAUUUGAAUUCGGGUAUGGAUUUUGCGUAUAUUCGAUUCGAACCCGAACCUGAACCCGAACCCGAACCCGAACCCGAGCCCGAGCCCGAGCCCGAACCCGAUCCGAAUCUGAAUUGAUUUUACAUUAUAUAUGUUUGAUGUUAUAUUUGACUUCGUAUUUAAAAAAAAUUAACUUUGAUGUAAUAUGUUUUGAAAUAUGGUAAAAGAGAAAUAGUUGUUUCGGGUUCGAAUUUUCGAGUUUGGGUUCGGGUUUGGAUUUUUGGUUGUGUUCCGGUUUGGAUAUGAAUUUUUAAAAUCUGUUAGAUUCGGGUUUUGGGUUUGGUAGUUGUGUUUGGGUUUAGGUUUUCAAAAAUCUGCCCCCGAAUCAGAUCCGUUGACAUCCCUAGCUAGAAUUGAAGGACGACAUCUAUAUAUAUCAAAUCUGUCUUUAACAUUUAUAAGUAAAAUUUUGCAAUCAAGAGCCAACUUUUUACCACCCAUAAACCUUUCUUGUUUUGCUUGCUUCUCAAAUUUCUCUAUUUCGUUUGGUGUAGCUAUCCGCAAAGCUACACUCUCUCAGUUUCUAUCAAUGCCAUCACCGAUAAUCUGUAAUCCAUCUUUGACAAUGAGAUUAAAAAUAUAGGUACAACACCUCAUAUGAAAGAAUUCUCCUUGCAAUAUUAAAGAACUAGGAAGCAAAGAGUCCUUCAAAGUUUUAAUCAACGAACCAUUACUAGUACAAUUGUCUAUUGUCACAGUGCUAAUCUGUCUCAAUUUUCCAUGUGAUUAAGCAAUUAUUCAAGACAUUUGAAAGCAUCUCGGCAGUGUGUCGGCAAGGAAUAUAGACAAACCUCGACUUAUUAGACUAAAAAGCUAAUAGAUUAUACCAAAUCAAAAUAUAGAAAAUAGAUUACACCAAAGAAAAAUGUAAAGCUUAGUUAUAUAGAAAUCCUUUGAUUGGAAGUAGUAUCUCAUUCAAUUUUAAUUUGAUUAAGAAUUGCUGGAUAUAAUUGAUAGUCCCAUAUCACCAUUGUAAUUAUAUUAUUGCCCAACUCCCACUCCCUUUUCCUCUAUUGCAGUAUCUCAUCCAUCCUCUUUAGCUCAAUGUAUCUUGCACUCAUAGUAUGUAUAACAUAAGUACAUAACUACUAUAAAAGUUACAUACUGUUAGAAAUAAAAGGAAGGGAAGAAAAGGAAGAAACUGUAUGUCUAAAUAAGAGCAAACAAGAAAUAUAGUUGUUAGAAAGUCGUUAACCAUGUUCACUCUCUACCUUAGGCAGAUAGCAAGCUGAAAUGCAGAGUACAGCUUGCUUGAGUGCAGAGUACAGCUUGCUUGAGUAGACAACUUCUGAUUCUGAAUUAGACAACAGUAGAAAAAGGAUACCCUUAUAGCCUAGACCAUGCAAGAGAAUAACACAUCAACACCAUAUCAAGAGGUUUAUAAUUUUAUAUGCACGUCAAAAGACAAUAUCAAGAGAGAAUGACAUCAAAAGACAAAGAACUAGUGCACUUCAUUUCAAAUACUUUUGUGAUUGCUGCAUAUAAAAGAGAAAAUAAAGCAAAUAGAUUAUGCAAAAGAAAAAAAAAACCUUGAUUACCUUAAUAUUUGAUUUGAAUAACCAAGAAUCAUCUAUCCAAUUGGUUGUGAUUGCCAUAAAAUCUUUCUUCUCAUUGCUAGAGGUCCACAUAUAAGUGGUUAUAUCAGUUCUACUUAAAUAUUCCUCUCUAACAAUUUCAUAGUUUUUUGUUUCUCGACAGUAUAAUCUUCAAAAUGUCACUCCUAAAAGUGGUCCUCACAAUCAUUUUAAAAGGAGGUUGAAGACUUUGGCAAAAUCUAAUAUCUCUAAAGCCAUGAUAUUCAAGUAUUCAACAAAACAAAGAGGCAAUUCAUGCGAAAUUAUAAUAUUAGCAACCUUCCUUUAAGAAACUUUUUGGUCAAAUGUAUCGUUAGUUACCUCGAGUUUUCCAUCUGCUUUAUCAACCUUCAAUCAUUUGUGGUUUUGCAUCAUCUCUUGAAUGUCUUUAUGUUUUCUAUUCAAGCACCUACAAAAAUGGUCGUGUAAAUGUCUUGUUCCUUUUUUACCAUCACCCACAAGUUAGGCUUUACAAUAAUUGCAAACAACUUUGUCCUCUCAAUUGAUCUUCUUUUUCUUAAAGUGUUCUCACGUUCUUGAUGUUAAUUUUCUUGCUUUAAUCACUUCACCUAGUUCAUCAGAUUGAGAUUUAGAUUUAGCAGGAGUUGGGACUAGAAUCUACUUGAAUUGGUGUUGGUGUAGAAGCUGCUGUUCCUCCUUCGCUAGUACCAAUUGUUGCAACUCCACUGGUUGUAGAAUGUGUAGGAUGAACACUUGAAGGUGCUUGCUAAGACUUACUUUAUCUUGAUAUAAAUAACAAAAAAUCCCUUUGAAUGAAACUUUGUAUCUCUAUGUCUCUAUGUUUACAUUUUACACAUUGCAAAUUCAUUUCGUUAAAUUACAUGAAAGGAAUUUGAACUCAAAAUCUCUUGAAGUUAAAACAAUUUAAGACUGGUUCUAUCCAAAAAAUUAAUCCAGUGAGGAAAGCUGAGGAAUAGUCUUGACAUAAAGAAGCUCUUUAACUGAUUUUUUUUUUUUAAUAGAUGAAAAACUAGAAUAAGCUUUUAAACCCUGACUAGCUAUAGCUGAAAAGCUAAAAUAAGCUUUUGUUUGAGGCAAUAAUGCAAUAGCUCUAAAACAUAGACAGGUUACGACACGAAGAAAUUUAUUCAAUUACAUUUUGCCCCACCUAAAUAAUAUUUCUAGAUAAGUUCCAAUUAACAACAUGCCAACAUUAGAUAAUCAAAGAAAUAUACAGAGUUUGAAAAUUUUUUCUAAUACCAACGAAUUCUUGAAUAAAAUUCCUAAUAUGCAAAAAAAUAAAGUUAAAAACUGCAACAAUAAGAAAAUUGAACGUUCUAACAGUUAACAUCAAAGAGCCAAAUGAUGAAGAGCAUCUAUACACAUAAAAGAAAAAGAAGAAAAUGGGGAAGAAAAGGAAGAAACGCACCUUGUUCCGACAAAAUCUACGACAUUUGAUGAGAGAGGAGAGGGGGAGGUUGAAGCUACAGUGUCGGUUGGAGAGUUUACGGUGUCUCCCACUUGUGGAGUAGUGGAAGGGCAGCAAAGGGACCACAGAGAGAUGGCAGAGAGACAACAGAAGGGAGAGAGAAAGGGGGCUAGGGUUGGCCGAGAAAGAGAGAGAGGAGUGGCGUCACUUGGGGGGAGGUGGAAGGUUGGUCGAGACAGGAUGGUUGGUGUGAGUGGUGUCUACUAGGGUUAGAAGUUGGAUUAAGGAGUGGAGUUUAGAAAUACAAAUAUUAGGGUUUAUAAAUAUAAACCCUAUAUAUAUAUAUGUUAGUUUUCUCUAAAAAUGUCAUUUUUAAAGGGUAUUUAAAUAAAUUUAAAAUAGAUUUGGGUCGCAUUUAGGCAGGAUUGGGGGUGUGUCAAAAUUUUUUCCAUAUCCUGCCCUGAAUCGCCUCAAAUCAUAAAACUGUCCUGUUUACUACCCAAAUCCGUUUAUGCCUUUCUAUUUACUGCCCUAUUAGGGGAGGACUGGGGCGGAGGUCCACCAACUUGGAUCCAUUUGCAUCUCUAGUAAGCAUGUCUCCUAGGUGGUUCUAUACGAACCAUAGUAAUAAUAUGGUUUCUCACAACUAAAGAAAUAUGUCAAAUUGGAAAUGGAAGAUAAUAUUUUAAUAGAGUGAAAAUGUAAGGGAGUUAGCUUAUAAUGUAUAGAAGUUUUAUAUGGUACAGUUCAUGGAUGCUCCCAUCAUAUUGACUAAAUUGGUGCAGUGAAGUUUGCUUUUCACAUAGUGCAAUGAAUGCAUGUCGUAUGUUUGUUCUAGUUUGAUGAUGCGACUAGUUAAAGAAAUAAAUGGAUGUAUUGGUCUAAUGACUGCUACUUAUUUUAAAUGAAAGGAUGCUUAAUGCUUUAGAUAUGCAUCUUACUGAUAGCAAGUGUAUUCUGAUAAAUACAAGUAAAUGACCAUUAAUGCUAAACAAUUAGUCCAGUCUAUAAUUAGCAAUCCAUCUACUACAUAGCAAUAGAAAAUUUUUAUAUAUCAAGACUUACAUGCUUAUAAGUUCUUUGCUUUGUGUUGAACAGAAAGUGGUCGUGUGUUUGCUACCGGACUGAACAACUUUGGACAGCUAGGCAUAACCUCUUCGAAAAGCCAUACGCUAGUACGCUUUCUUCCAAUUUAUUUGUUUCAUUCUGUCCAUCAGUAGCUGCACGUAAUUCUUGUUUCAUGUAUUUUAUUCAAACAAAUGAGACCUUUGCAUCUUGUUUUUUAGUUGCAUGUUUAGCGGCUUGACUUUUCGAGAAUGAGCUACAUUCUCAAAACUUGAGGGUUGAGAUCAUCAAUGACUUAAUAAUUAUUAAAAGAGCAACUAACAAUAUGUCUUCAUCUCAAUAAUAAAGGAAACUUUUUUGCAUGUUAAUUUGGAUAUAUCUUUCUUUGUGGUUCAUAUUUGGGCGUCUAGCACAAACAUAAAACUACUUUGUAGAAGUUAUCCAUGUUCAAGUAAUCAAUAUAACAUAUAUCGAGUGAUUUCGCGAAGCCACAUCCUCAGCCUUAUUGAAAACCCUUUAAAAAGUUUAAAAUUUUUGAAUGGUCCAACUUUGAAUUUAUAAGAUGGAAAUAUCUUAUUAUUUUAUUAACUAGAUUUAAAAAGAUAACAUUUAAAUUACAUUAGAUAAAGCUGGAUUAUAACUUGAUCCCAUUUUGACUCUGAAUAGAAAUCAAAAUAAAAUAAAUAACAUAAUAGAGAUAUAGUAAAAUAGAUAAAAACGUGCUCUAUAUAAGAUAGAUUUAUUUGGAUCAAAUUCUAUCUCUAUUUUAGACUAGAUUUGGUUAUAAAUAUAUAAAUCCUGGACUAGGUUUCAAAUUAUAUUUAUUCUGUUUCUCCUUUUCUUUUACAAUUCUACUCCUAAUAAUUAUCAACUUUCUUUUCACUAAAUAUAUGUAUUUUAUUUCCUUUUUAUUUUAUUUUUUUAGCAAUCACCUUUUCUCAGCUACAUCUAUGUAAAAUUUUUAUUUUCUUUUUUUUUUUCCAUAUUUUAAAUCAUUAUUGAUUGGUAAAGAUUAAUUAUUUUCUUAAUUUUUUUGACUACAUGUUAUAUAACAUAAUUAGUUUAUUAUAAAAUUGGCCUAUGCAUCAGAUGGCUAUAAAUUUAGUCUGAAAUAAAGUUCAAUGUCAUGCCUUGGGUUAUAGCGGAAGUCCGGAUUAUGUCGACAGACUCGCCGCGUGCACAAGGAUACACCUUAUACACACGAAACGUCAACAAAAUCUGUCCAAAGAAGUUUACUAAAAUCCAACAACAGCAGAUAGCAGAGUAGAAUAAAAACUAUAUACUAUAGCAACACUGUAAAUAUAUGAUCAUCACUACACCAAUUCUCAAAAUGGUACAACAUUUCUGGUGACUCCAAGCCUCAGAACACUGUACAGGCUGCUUAUACACUGAUAGGUGGUUCAACUACAUACACAAGAAAAGGUAGGAAAUGCUAGCUAUCUGCGAUCCUCUUACCUCAUUCAGUCACUAGUGCUGAAGGCUCUGAAAUAAAAUAGUAAUGAAGAAGGCGAGAGAACUAUAAUUAAUAGUCCUUAGUGGUUAUGGUCGAUAAUGUCGACAAUCUAUACUACUAGAUCCAUAAGAAGCAGAAAUAAUAAAUAAGCAGUAUGAAUAAACAGGUAACAAUAUGAAUAACUGCUGAAAGUAACUACUGCUAUCAUGCCUCUACAAUGUAACUAAAAUUGUAAAUCAUGUAUCCCAUGCAUCAAAUAGAUACUUAAUAAAAUAAUGCAAUAAUACCCAAUCAUAGUGAAACUCAACAAUUGGGUCUAGCUUGCGCCGCCUCGUGUCCGGCACCCACCUAUAGUGGUCCUCUACCACGCAGGCUACUAUCUGGCCUAUGUCAUAAUAAUACCUCAUAGUCCAACCUCCGGAGUGGCAUUCGCAGGGCGCUACUCUAACCGAGUAUGGUAUCACUGUCAAGCUCAAAAUAGUAUGCAGGUUGCAGUCAAAUGCGGUGAUCAAACAGAUCAUAUGAUAAUACUGGUAUAGUGUCCCAAAUACAGUCAUAGUCUCACACUAUCUAUCACUGUCUAUUGGCCUCCAAGGCAAUAUCACGUAAUACUAACAGUGGAAAAUAUGCAUGUUUUACUAUAUUCUAUAGGUAGGUGUCAAAAUACCAUUAUCGUCUCAACUAUAUCAAUAGUUCAUCUCAUAGGCUAAAUAAUAUAAUAUGGACAUAUGAGUUAGUCUACCAAUUUUGGCGGCACGGAACCUACCUAUAUCGCAAAUUCAAGGAAUAGCUCGAAAAUCCUUCAUAAAAAAUCACACGAAAUCAACUCUUAAAAUGCAUAGAAAUCGAUUUCUAACUCUCAAUUUGUACAAAAAUCUAUCAAAAUCCUCUUUUCUACAGCGUGCGAUCAAGAAUCCAUCAAAAGAGUCCAAACGAGAAAAUAAUAAUAUUAUAAUACUAGCCCUGAUGUCAAAAUGCUGAAAAAAAUCACAUGCGCACGUGCUCGGUUGGCUUGUUGCAAAGAAACUCAAGCUCUCCUCUCUUGAUUGUAUUCUCUCUCUCUAAAGCUUGCAAGUGAAGCAAUAAGCAUGGAUAAAUCUCCUGGUGCACACUUGAACCCACUAUGUCACGCCCCGAGCCCCAUGCCUAUUUGGCCGGGUUCGGACCGCCGACAGCGCCGAACGGACAGGGUUUUUCCUGUGCCGCGGACAGAGUCUCCCCUGUACCGUUCAAGGCUCAACAAACAGUACAAUACAAAGGUUCCAAACAGGAAUAGUAUUCGUACAAUGAUUGCAUAAGAAAGGUAUCAAACAACAUAACACAUCCUAUGUUAUUACAAGCAUUCUCAUUAGAUUCAUUUUUACAUCACACUUGCAUAACACAUUUUAUGACUUCCAAAUACAAUCAAGUUACUACAUUAUUUAUUUACAAGUUUUAGUACAUUGUGUUCUUUUCCCUUUCCUAUACCCUUAGGCUAUGCCGACUCGGGGUACUGCUAUCUUUGGUCUCUGGGGUAGGGCGCUAUCUAUGGAGCUGCGCCCUUGCCUUGCGCCGCUCACGUGCGAACCUAUAGCACUCUAAAAUAACGUGGGGUGAGAACCAACUCCAUGAUUCCCAGUGGGUACUGCCACCCAAGGGAAAAGCUCGACUAGUAGGUUCAAGGGAGGCAACAACAUGUUAGUCCAAUAGAUAGAUAUGAAAUCAUAAUUUAAAUGCAACUGACAUAUAUCAUGCUUUGCCUCACAAAUGCAAUAAUGCUAUUCCAUAUGCAAUUUAUGCAACAAUGCAACCAAAGAAGUAAAUCUAUCGAUUCUACUUCUAUCACGCCAACUAGCUCAUGUCCAACUAGCUUCUAAGGUUUCUGUUACCUUAGUUCUUGCCUCUAUCACUAGCCUUUAAGGUUUUCCACUACCUUACUCAAGCUAUCCACCCGACUCUGCCUCGAGUCAAUCAUUCGCGGAUAGUCCGCGGACUGGCUGUACCUCAGCCUGGCUGCCAUCACAGCCCACCGCACCUCUUGACUUAGCCAUCUGGUGGCGAAUGCGUUGUCCUUACCGAGCAAUGACUCAAGUCAUUACUUAGCCAUCUGGCGGCGAACUUAUCGCAUCUCACCCAACAAUGGUUCAGGUCAUGACUCAGCCCUCUAGCGGCGCACGCAUUGCCUUUACCCAGCAUUGGUUCAAGUCAAUCCAGGCGGCAUCAUCCAAUAAGCUAAAUGAGCGAGGAGAACCACACAUACUCAUUCUAGCUUAUACCGGGCGAGGAGAACCACACAUAUCCGUUGGAUCAUUAUUCUCAUGGCAUACCGGCGAGGAGAACCACACAUACCCGUUGAAUCACUGCCCGGCGAGGAGAACCACACAUACCCGCAGUUAUGAUUCUAAAUGCCAUCUCUUGUAUCCUGUCACAAGUUCCACCACUUCUUUUGCGGUCACUACACUAGGGAUUCCAGAAUCCAUUUCACAGCUCAAGGGUUGGUCUCAAACCCUAUAGUAUCGAUUUAUCUAGGUCCGAUGUCCUUUCCACUCUAGGUCCAACUGACUUUAGGUUCCAUGCCUCUAUCACAUAACCUAGGUUUACUUUAACUCUAGGUUUAAUCCACAACCUAUGUUCUUUAACACUAGGUUCGAUGCCACUCACCUAGAUCUUGACUCUAGAUUCACUUAUUCAACCUAUGUUCACUAACACUAGGUUCAAUGUCAUUCGUGUUCAACCUAUGUUUAAUAACACUAGGUUAGAUGCCACUCGUGUUCGAACUAUGUUUAUUAACACUAGGUUCGAUGCCACUCGAUCUAAUAUAUAGAUGUCUACAUGCACAUUCCAAUUAACAUAAUCCUCUAUAUGUUAACUUGCAUCCAUCUAGCAUUAGCAUUAUGUUAUUAUGCAUUUUCCUCAAUGUGUCAACAUACAUAUCUCAUUGGUAGGCAUUAAACAUCAAGCAUAAUAAGAUUCGUGCAUCUCUAUUAUCUUAUGCAACCUACCACUACAUAUGCAUGCAUCAAUAGUAAGCAUUACUCUUAGACAUAGAGGCGAUCUAGUCGCUUCGGUAAACACAACCCCCCUCGAUUCGCUUUACGAUUGCUUGUAGUCACUUGUAACAGGCCGCCCGCGGCACUCGGUAUCCGGUUUAGCCCGAUUCUGCAAUCGCUCAUCAACCGUGCAUCGCUUGGCAGCCACGGUUAAAAGGGUCUUCGUUUAUUUGCCGCGGUGCCUGGGUUUCGUUUUCACGAUUUAUGGACGCCACCUCGGCCCUCCAGGCGGAAACGAAGCUAAAUCCUCCGUUUCUUCAAUAUCUUCGCACUAGCUCGACGAAUCGCCGAACCGACUUCGCCAAUGCGUUCGUAUACCUAGCAAUUAGGUUUACAUAGGGUUAAACUAGAUCAAACCCAACUAUUUAGCAAAAUCCCAUUUUGGAGCCCUAGCUUUAGCAUCAUCUCCAAUAACCCAAAUCUCAUGAGGAAAGCAUGCUAAAACUACACUAGAGACUAUUAAACCACCAAGCAUUAAGGAUUAAACCAAAUCCCAAAAGCUUACCAAAUUGCAAACGUUGAGACGGGAGCACGCCGCUCAAACGGGCGCACGAAAGCUCGAACCAUCGCCUCCCACGCGUUCGCAAGAUCCUUCUCCUCCAAGCCUCCGAGUUUGAGAGAUGGAUCUAGAGAGAGGGAGGAGCUCCUCUCUCUACCAAGGUGUGUGUGUGUGGUGCUUUUUGGCUAAGGAAGAAGAAGAGAGGAGUUGGCCCCUUUUCUAAAGCAAAGCACCCACAAUUACCAAUUAGUCCCUGCUGUUUCUGGGCAUUUUUCGGGCUCAGGGUCCGGACCCCGUAGGUCCAGAAAAUCAGCAUUUUCAGACUUAGCCAAAAUUUCAGCCUUUUCGCCAAUUUUGGUCCGUUUUCGCUCGUUUUCGCUCCGUGAGUCUCCGAUUCGUUUCAAAUCGAACCGAGACUCUCAAAACAUGUUUUCGAGCGUGUUUUCAUCGUCUUUUUCAUCCGCGCUAAUGCCGGAUUUAGUUCAUGAUCCAACAUAGCCUUUCGGGUCCCGUUUUCGCGCCUACGCGCUCCGAAAACGCCCGAAUGCUUCCGAACUUUACCGGAACCUCACCGGAACCAUUCAAAUGGCUUUUCAACCAAAUGUACACCGUAACUUCAUAAUUUUAGAAGUCCGGUACCUUACACACUACCUAUUGUACAAAAUGCCAAUAGGUCCCUCACAAUUCAAGUAUUCUAACUUUACUUCAUCAUGAGCUAAAUCUUGAGUUCCUGAGUUUGUUUUUGCGUCCAUUUUGCAUCAAAACAUCUCCAACUCAGUCAAACACUAUAAAAAAAAAAUGCUGACUAACAAUCUAUACUGCAACCUUGCCUAUUUGCCAAGAUUUAGUACUCUACAUUCAAUUAACGCAUCUACUGUUCAUCUGCUAUUUUUGAAUUAUUCUUUGUGGUUUAGUUAGUUUAGAAAACAGUUCCACUUGGGAAAAAUAACAAUAUUCUUUUAUAUGUUGUACUAGAAUUAGGUGGUUGUACAUAAAAGCGGUUAAUCAAGUUAUGUUUAUAGAGAGAGAAAGUAAUCAAUGCAGUCUCCUAUAAAUAGUUAUGUAUGUUAACUUGAUGCUGAACUUGAUGGCUUGUAGUCUUUGACUGAAAAGGACGCUCUAGAUGAAUUGAGAGGAAAUGAACGAGAAAAGCAAGAAAGCAUGGUUGACGAACGAAUUAAUCCUACUUAAGACUGUAGGGAGUAGCCAUAUGGUAAAAAUCAUAGCUAUCAGAACAUGAAGGAAGUUAACUGAAUGUAAAGAGAGGUCGAACCUCGCUCCUUUGAGAACUUAACUAUACUUUAGGGUUGAGAAUGAUGGCCAACUUGAAGGAGACUCGAAAGGAACAGUGAAGACUUGAACUUUGUUAGUGUUGCCAACAAUAAUAACACAAGGAUUACGCGAGAUACCUAUAAGAAGUUAUUUAGUUUCUAGCUAUUUAGAGAACUUGGACCUUAGCUCCUCAUGACAUAGAAUGAAGUAUAGUUUCAUGAGAAAAUUAGGAGCUGAGGUUACCAGUGAUACAACCGGAAAAAAGUAGGAACACUGCUAAUGAUUCACAAUAAUAUUCAUGAUCCUUAUUGUUUUCCUUUUAUUGAUAGCUUUAUUUUGAAUGUUUUGGUUAAACUUUGAUUAGGAAGUGGCAAAAAUAGGAUAAUUAAUGCGAAAAAUACUUCAGCAGUACUGUAGUAGAUGUUAGUGUAGCUGUGGAUACUGCAGCAGCUAGUAUUAUAGAGGCCCAGGGUAGUAGGGGAAAAUAAGUGAACAUUUUAAAAGUUGAAGCCAAAAUAAGUCCUAAAAGAACAUCCUAGUAUGAUAAUUAACAUGAAGUAUUUUACAUUCUCGUCCGACAUCUUCAUUGUUUGUCUUAUGCAGUUUGUUUAUCUCAUUAUUAUUUUAACCAUAAUGCAUUUAUAGGGUAUACAAUAUAAUCUGUGCUUGGUUUGACCAGUCUUGUCAUAACAAUUGCGUCAAACCAAUUAUUAAUUUCUAUUUUCCUAUUUAUGUAGGUGCCUGUUGAAAUUUUUGGACUCCCUGAGAAAGUUGUUGAAAUUUCAGCUGGUUACCAUCAUUCUUGUGCAAUUACUGGUGAGAGAAAGAACAAAGGAUAUGGAUAUUGUGCUUUCGUUAAAUGCUAAGUGCAAACUUUCUUUUGAUAAUUAUAAAUAAGCUCAAUCUGCAGUCUUUGUAUAUGGCCAGGCAAUCAAUAAAGGUUUAUGCAAAUGAGUUUAAGAAAGCUGAACAAAUACAAUUAUUUUAACUGAUUUAGUGUGUGUCACCUAUUAGCGUGACAUUCAGAUCAAACAAAAAAGUGAAUGGAAAUAAAUGGCAGCUUCAAAGAUGAUACUCGUAAACAAUACUCAGAAAAUUUAAUGAAUCUGAUGUUAUAAUAUUGGUUUCACUAAUGUUGUUAUAAAAGAUUAAUAACAGAGACUAUAUUUUGUGCAAGUUGGUGAUUGUAAAAUAAACAUGAUGGGACUUGGUAUACAUUUUCAUUAAAUCUAUGCAAAAGAUCCUACCCUUUAUUCUCCUCUGAUAUGAAUACUAAAACAUAUUCUAAUACAUUAAACAGUUAUAUUCUCAUUCUUUUUGUUGUCCUAAAAUUGACUGUUGAUACAUACUGAGCUUUUUUUUUUGUUAUUCUUUAUUUCCUAUCCCUAUGUACUUACAAUGUUACAAUUAAUUACUCUUAGGGCAUGUUUGGUUUGAAGUAUUUGAGAGUUGGAAUGAGAAUCGGAAUUAAGUCAUUCUUAUUGUUAGUGUUUGGAUUGAGGGAUUGGCAUUCUGAUUCCCAUUUCUGGGGACAUUCGAGUCCCUUAAGGGCAUGUUUGUUCAUGAUUGGAAUAUGAAUGGGAAAUGGAAUUGGAUUGCUUCAGAAUGGGAAAUGGAAUGACGAAACAUCCAAAAAUGUUUGGUUCAUUAUUGGAAUGGAAAUCAGAAUGGGAAUCUAGGAUUUUGAGUGUGGGUUUUGAUUAAGAGAUAGGAGAGUGAUGAAUGAAGAGGAAGGGAAGGUGUUUGCGAGAGGGGAUUUUGAGUAGUUGCUUGGAAUAGGCCAAUAUGGAAUUCAAAGCUAGAUUGGGCCAUAAAUGGAUUUGGCCAUUGCCAUUCAAAGUGGAAUAGGAAUCGAAAUCCGAUUCUUGUAAAACAAACAACAACAAUCGGAAUCAAUGAAUCCCGUUUCGAUUCCAUAGUCUAAAAAUAGAUGAACCAAACAUGCCCUAAAAGUGACUCCCACCUCCAUGGUCGGAGUUAACUUUGAUUCUCGAGUGAUUGAAAAAAUAUAUUUUUCUUCUUCCACUAAUAAUUAUUUGAAUUUAAAUAUAAACCAUAUAAAUUCAUUAGCUUAAUCAUAAUUUCAAAUUUGAAUUUGAAAUAUGAAUUUAAAAUUUAAAUUUAAAUUUCUUAAAUUUUAAUUUAUAGUUGUAAAUUUAAAUUUUGACUUUUGACCUUGAAUUUGAAUUGUAAAUUCUAAUUUUAAGUUCAAAUUUAGAGUCAAAUUUUCAUUAAAAAUUUGAAUAAUAAAUUUAAAUUUUAAUAAAAAUGCUUUUUUUUUUUUUAAUUUCAAUUUGAACAUGAUUCUGUUUUCGAUUCCACUUCCUCUUAUGAACGAAACAAAUUGUUAUUUUUAUCAUUCCGUUUUGGAUUUUGGUCCAUUUUCAUUCCUAUUCUGGUUUCAAUUCCUCUUUUGAACCAAACGUGCCCUUAGGGCAUGCUUGAUUGCCCCUUUUUCACCCAGGAUUUGGAAUCAGAAUACGAAUUUGUUUGAGGGUGUGUUUGGUAUGCGGGAGUCCCAUUCUGAUUCCGAUUCUUGUAUAGAAUGAGAAUCUCCAAUCACCCCUUUUUCCAAUCCGGCUUAGGAGGUCGAAUUGCAAGUUGAAUCCUAGCAGAAUUAAAGUUUGUUCCAAAAAUAUGUCAACUAUAUUUUGAAACUAAAUUUAAUUUUUUAACUUCAAGUUUUAAGUAAAAUAUAAGUUUAAAUUUUUAGAAAUUAAAUUUUAAUUUUUAAUAUUGAUUUAAAACUCAAAUUAAAUUAAAUUUAAUUUAGCAUUUUGAAUUUGAUCUAUGAAUUUAAACUUAAAUUUUAUGUUCAAAUUUUAAAUUUUAAAAUUUUCAUUUAAAUUUUAAAUUAAAUAUAUGGAUUUAAUUUGGAAUUUAAAUUGUAAUUUUAAGUUUGAAUUUGAAUCAAAUCGAAAAUUAAUUUUAUACUUUGAGUUGUGCACUCAACUUUAAAUUUUAAUUGUUAAAAAUUUACAUUCAAAAUUUUGGCUUAUCAUUUGAAAAUUUUGAUGUAAAUUUUUAAUAUUUAAUUUUUUGUUUGCAUUUAAAUUAUAAAUUUAAUUCUAUGUUUUGAGUUGCAAAUUCAAUUUAAAUUAUCUUCGUAUUUUAAUUUUAAUUUUUAUUUUAAUUAUUUGUUUGAUAACCACAAUUUUUUCUAUCACAACUAGAUUGUGUAAACAGGAAUCAACUAUUCCGAUUCCGAUUGUUAUUCACUUAUUCUAAACUAAACAAAUUGAGAGAAUUUGACCAUUUCGUUUCCAAUUCCAGUCUGUUCCAAUUCCAAUUCCGAUUCCAUUUCUUAUUUUGAACCAAACACCCCAAGGUUAGUAGUGAAAUCAAAAUUUUAAACUUUAGGUAUCUAUUUUGAAAGCACUUUAUGUUAGGUAGUGAAAUCAGAGCUUUGAAAGUUCAUGUACCUAUUUUAGAAUGUGCUAUAGUUUAGGUAAGUUUAUACAGUUUGUCCUUAAUACUUAAUAGUUUUGUCCUUUGAUAGAUUUAUCGUUUUACUACUGCAUUAUUCUGGGUCAUUUUAUUUAUACUAGGUAAUAAUUUAACUUUUGGACAGUUUUCUUGUAUUGAUGGUCCUUUGUUUAGAAGAAAAUUUACAUUCUUUUCCAAACUAUUGCCUUUGCUUUUUUGAUUUAGAUAAUGGGAAGCUCUUUGUUUGGGGAGACAACUCCAGUGGUCAGCUUGGUCUUGGAAGAAGUAAUGCUAUUAUUCUUGGACUCACCUUCUUUGUUAUUAGCAAUAUAAUAUAUUAUAUAUCAUAAUAUAUAUAUAUAUAUAUAUAAUAUAUAUAUAUAUUAUUAUGAGACUACUAUGUGGACUUUCAAAUCAUCGAUCGGCUUCGUUAAACUUGAUUCUAUGAGUAUUGAAUGUAACCUAGAAAAUAAAUUUGCGAUUUUUUCGAUAUUAUUUGCUCUAGUGAACGAAGGGGCUCAAAAUAACGGGCUGUAAAAAAAUCUUACAAAACGUGAAUAAUAUGACAUUAAAAUUUGGAUGCAAAAGAAUUGAUCUUGUUUAUAUAGUAUAAAGAAUUAUUCAUAUCAAAAUUUUACGUGAUUUGGAUAUUUUACACCGUUAAACUUAACAAACAUCACUUACGGCCAUUAAAAUUCAUUCGAUUUUGAGCCCUUCGAUUCACUAGGCAAAUCAUAAUCGAAAAAAUCAUAACAAUUUAUUUGUCUAGGUACUUCAAAUUAUCUUAGAUCAAGUUUAACGGAGCCAUCGACUAAUUUCGAAAGUCGCAACAAUCGAAAACGACCUAGAAGCACGAGGGCCUCGUGCUUCAAAAAGCAUAGUAGCCUCACUCUAUAAUAUAUAUAAUUAUAUAGAGAGAGAGGAUGUACGCGAUCGAGAGGAGACGAGAGGAGUAGAUCUGUAUACUAUCAUAGCACGGAGGCCCCCGUGCUACAAGUUUGUUUUCAAUGCUUGCGGCUUUCAAAUCGACGAUUGGCUUCCGUUAGACUUGAUCCUACACUAUUUAAAAGUAUUUGAAACUAAUAUUCAUAAUUUUUCGGCAUUAUUUGGCUAGUGAUCAAAAGGUCUCAAAAUUGACAAUUUUAAUGGUAGAGUGUAUGCAUUUGUCAAAUUUAACGGGUGUAUAAAAUACCAAAUUAGAAUGAAAUUUUUAUAGAAUUUUUUUUUUUACUAUUAGAGUUAUAAAAAGAUCAGACUCUGAUCUAAUAAUUCAAGUCUUCUACUCAUUUUUUUAGAUUUUUAUUUUUAGCGUCAUUUUAGACCUAUGUUUGAUAUGGAUGAAUAUACACCCAAAUAUUAGAAAUUUAGUUUCAAAUACUUCAAUUAGUGUAAUUAAGUCUAUACGGAGCCGACGUCGUUAUUUGGUAAAGCUGGCAUCAUUAAAACAACUGUGCUAGGCACGAAAGCCCGUGCUACCAGGAUAGUAUACCAGCCGUGAAGCUCUCUCUCUAUAUAAUAUACAUAUAUAAACAUAUAUACAAUAUAUAUAUAUAAUAUAUAAUAUAUAGUAUUAUAUAUACAAUAUUAUAUAUACAUACAUAUAUACAUACAUAUAUAUGUAUAUAUGUUUAUAAUACAUAUACUAUAUAUAACAUAUAUAUAUAUAGAGUUAGAGCUAGAAAUACUCCCAAAAGCACCAAUGGGUUGGUAUUAUAUAUUAGUAAUAUUGGAGUAGAGCUAAGAAUUUACUCCCCUAAAAUGCACCAAUGGGUUGGUGCUUUUGAGUUUUAGCCCCUUGAUGGAGAGAUUGUGAGGUUGAGAUGAUGGUAUAGGUGUCCGGUGUGGUCGGUGGAAUUAGUGUUUGAUCAAAGGUUUAUUAGUAAUACAGGAGUAAGAUCAUAGGCUAUGAACUUAGAAGCCACAAUGAGUUGGUGCUUUAAAAGUAUGUUCUAGCUUACUCUAUAACAUAUAAUAUAUACAUAUAACAUAUAUACAUAUAGAGUUGAUGCUAGAAUACUAUGAAGCAAACGGGCUCCGUUGCACCCAUUGUUUUCAGAUGAUGGAGUUACAUAUAUAUAUAUAAUAUAUAUCAUAUAUAUAUAUAAUAUAUAUAAGAAGAGAGAGAGAUGAGAGUAUGAGAAGAGAGAGAGAUGAUGGACGUUUCGAGAGGAUGAGAGCCAGAGGGAGAGAGAAAUCUGAGGAGAGAGUGCAAGGAGUCGAGUGUAAGCGGAAUUGAGGUGAACGAGACGAGGAGCGGUGAGAUUUCCUGCUUAUGACUGAGGACUGAAGGGAGAGGCAUGAGAGUGAAGAGACCGUUCGUGAGAGCUUGUCGGUCAGUGGUCGGAGCUCAUCUCGUGGAGAGCAGAGAGAGUUGAGCUAGAAUACUAUCGAUAGCAAACGGGCUCCGUUGCCACCCAUUUGUUUUCGAUGAUGGAGCCUCCAGAUCGACGAUCAGCACCGUUGAACAUGAUCUAUACCAUUUGAAGUGUUUAGAAAUCAAAUUUCAAAUAUUUUCAACAUCAUUUGCCUAAUGAUCAAAUGGUUUCAAAUUUUGUAAUUUUAAUUGUUGAUAUGAGGCGUUUUCUCGUUUAAUGGCGUAAAGAUAUCCAAAUCAAUUGAAUAUUUGUUAGAAAAUUCUUUAAACUAUUUAAAACAAGAUCUAUACUCUUGAUCUUGAGUACAAGACUCCUAUCUGGGUUAUAUAUACAUAUUAUAUAGGCUAAAUUACAGAAAACUCCCCUGUCAAAACCCGAUUUAUCACUUUUCCCCCGUCAUUUAAAAACCUACACUUUGCCCCUUGUAAAAUGAAAAAUGUGCACUUCACCCCAAGGUUUAAAGUGUCGUGGCACGGGGGCGUGCCGGCACGGUCCUGGCACGGUACGGCACGGGCACGCUUGCGUGCUGACACGUGGCACGCUUGCGUGCCGACAGAUACGCACGACCUCCUACUGGCACGCUUUGGCACGGAUUUUUUUCAGUUUUUUUGAUUUCAAUAAACUCUUAUAAUGUUAUUUUGAAAGAUUUAAAUAAAUAAUUAUUUAUAUUUGCUAUAUAUACCUUAUUAUACUCAUCAAUUAACAUGCAUGUAAGCUUUUUGUAAGUAAAAUACAAUUAUACCUGAUGUAGAAUAAAAAUUAAAAUACAAUAAUAAAAUUCACAAGUAUAAUAAUUAUUUAAAUUUACAUCUUUACAUAGAGAUGACUGCUUAAUUCCACAUAGAUUGUCGCGCUUGAUCAUAUCGCAUAUUGUCAUCUGCAGAUACAAGAUUUAUUUGAUAAUGUUGAUAUAAGUAUUGCUGGUAUUGUGAGAAAGUCAUAUAUUCCCGAUAUACGUCAUUGUAUUGUCGGAGAUAACUUGCAUAUGCAACUGGAUCGUGGAUAUAAUGGACAACAGUCAUCUGUGGCAUAUAAACUGAAGCAUCAUAAGGAUAUGGAUUGUAUGGAAAAGAAGAACCAUAAUGUGGAUAUGCAUGAGUGGAUGUAGAUUCGCCGUAUGAGCUUUCACUAUGUCCAGGGAUGGAUUGGGAUUCACUCUGAGUGCCAUAAAUUGAUGAAUCAUAAUCAAAUAUCUCUCCAUAUAGACCAUGUCGAUAUGAGGGAUGCGAUGAUAUUGAAGUACUAUCAAACUGUGUUUGCAAAGUAUCAUCCCUUCGUGGAGGUCUAGUUGAUAUUGCCUCCAAACCUUCUCUCAUCUCCCCAUAAUCUUGUUGUGAGGACCUCCUAUCUUUUCGACGGUCAUAUACCAUUCCGGAUGUUUGACGUGGUCGAGACCCAUGAUCAGCAUCUUGAGUGGCAUGUGUGAAGUUUUGCUCUUCAGUAAAUAUAAGGCCACCACCACCUCCACUCUCCUGUUGUGUUGGUGGAAUGAAGUCGCCACCAUCCUCACUGCUAUUAGUGGUAUCAUCAUCAUCACUACAUUCAUCUUUAGACUGUGGUAAUCCAGAAUCUGCUGGUGUCGAUGUAUCACUAUCAUUAUCUUGUGGGAGUGCAUCAGCUGCAUCUAAUGGAUCCAUCGAUGUCAUACUUUUUUUACUCUUACCACUUCGGACUGUCGUUGAAGGCCUUUUUGCAGUAUAAGACGUUUUCUCCUUUCCAGAUUGACUCUGAGUACGACGUGAACGACCAUAUCCAGGUCCUUGCAUAAGACGUUCGAAUUCUGCAUCAGAGUCAUGUGUAGGAUUUUGGGAUUUUUCGUCCAAAGCUGUUUGUUCUUGCACAUUACCUUGACACCUUCCUAUGUUCUCGUCAGCCCAUCUUUCAACAUUACUAAUUCCUGCUUCAUCAGCAAUUACUCUGAAGGGUCGUGGUGGAUCUCCAGGCUCAUUGAGUAAUGGGUCCUCUUGGUUGUCUCUAUCUUGUAGCCAAUCAAGUAUGGGGUUUGAUUCAUCAUUGAUAAAACUUGCAUCCAAGGGAUCAUAAGUUUUAAUUUCUUUUCCUUAUCAUACUCCUUUUCAAUGCAUUUUAAACGGAGCCUUAUAUUAUAGUGGACAUAAACUAGCUUCUCUAAUCGAGCGUACGCUAAUCGAUUACGCACUUUGGUAUGUAUUAGUGCGAACGUGCUCUAGUUGCGUUCACAUCCACUAGACGUUGUCGUUUGAGAUAAGACACACACAACAAUCUUUUUUAAAUACUUUGCUGAUCCACCAUAUUGUAGCCAUCGCUCAGCUGUACAAUUAAAAGUUAAAAAUAUAGCAAAUAAGAUUUAUCAUCAGCUGUAAACUGUCCAAAUUAUGGAGUUACUUACUGGGAUCGGUAUUGUGUCUUCCGUUAAUUGCACCCGCUUCACCAAAAGUUCCAGCGGAUUCACGAAAUAUUUUUCCCUUUAUUAUGAUAGAAUAAUAGUCAGAAAUCAGCAUAUUAACAUCUAGCAAAUUAAUAAUACAUUGAAAAAAUAUUAUACCUCACUUAUGGCAAGAGCAGCAUGUGUUGGAUCCCUCUCCAAUCUAUUGAUAACGUUUCGUAAUGCCUUCAACAGUUCAUCAUCAAAUCCAAGAUUAUAACGAUGAUGGUACGACGGAUUAAGAUAAUAACCUAUCAUUAAGAAAGAAAUCACUCCAUUAAUAAUACAAGGCUACUAAUGAACAAUCAAUAAUAAAUAGUUUUGUUAUAAUUUAUAACUUACCUGCUAGGUGUAGAUCCCGGCUCAUCUGAACGUCCCAACGUCUGUCAAUAACUUUUAAAAAAGAUUGACACCGUGGCGAAUUAAUUUUUUUAAUAUUAUCUUUAGCCAUUCUCAGUUUAUAAUAGACAUGUCCCAUUUGAGGUAUUUUUUCCUGAUCCACUAAACGGAGAACCACAUAUAAAGGCUCCACAAUAUCAACAAUCUCUUUCACAUAAUCCCAAAACUUGGCAGACAGAAUUAUUUGCUCAAUCGAUUUUCCAUCAGCCGUGGAGGCAUAACGAGAUGUUUGCCAAUCAUCUGAUGCAAACAUGGACUUUAAUCCAUUUUUAUUUUGAAGGAUACUGUUUAGAGCAAUAAAAUUUGUGGCAAAUCGUGUGAUACCAGAACGUACUAGUUCUCGUCCUGUGAAUUUCACCAUUAAAGCAUGAACCCAAAGAUGAUUAUACAAAUACUUAGAUACACGUUGUGCAGUAUCUACAGUUUUUUUAACUCGAUUUAUGUCACCGAAGUCAGACAUCAUUAGAUUGAUGCAAUGUGCUGCACAAGGAGUCCAAAAUAAAUACGGAUGCCUUUGCAUUAAUAGUUUGCCAGCUUUUUUGAAGUUUGCACCAUUGUCUGAUACAACUUGUACCACACAUUUCUCACCAAUCUCACCUAAAACUUGUUCCAGUAAUGCAUAUAUAUAAUCAGCAUCUUCAAAUCGACCGGUCGUAUCGAUUGAUUUGUGGAAAACCACCCUGCCAUUACAAUAGAUUAAAAAAUUUAUAAUGCUCAUUUUUGUCGGUCCUGUCUAACUAUCACACAUCAAGGUAACACCAUACAUCUCCCAUUGUUGUUUGAAGGUUUUUACCCAUGCAUGAAUAUCAUUGACCUCCGUGUCAAGAUAUUUGCCAGAAAUCUCAUACGGCGUUGGGGGUUCAACUCCUGGACCCUCCUUUUGUAUGGUAGCGAUCAUUGAUCUAUAAUAUGGAGUACUUGCUGCAUUGGAAGGAAUAUGACUGAAGUGAAAAAAUUUUGCUAUUGCUCGACCAAUUUUGCCUUUUUUAUCUUUUUUUAGCAUACUAUCUAUGCGUUGCUGUUGAGCAUCUGGGUCAGGAAAUGCCAUUGGGUCUAUAUCUAUAAUAUUUGGAUGUCUUCCACUUUUUUCUUUUGGUCAUUUUUUAAAUCUAUCGAACAUGCGGCUAACAGAACCACUUCGAGCUAAACCAGAUGGUGCAGAGCCAGACCCAGACCCACCACCAGCAUCAAACUGAGAGCGUCCAAAUUGUGCUCUAUGUCGUUGGACUUCAUUUUGCUGCCAUCUUUCUUGUGCAGAUACUUCCAUCGCAGCUCUAAUAUCAGGAUCUAAUUCAUCACCUAAACCUUCAUAUGGGUCAGUAGGGGGAUAUUCACCCGCUCGUUUAUCUAGUUCAUCUCGAUCGUCCCUUACUUUCUUUUUUGCUAUUUUUGAAGAUUCUAAUUCAAUUUUCAUUGCAUGUAUUAUUUCCUGAGGGACUUUAGGGCAUUUCGAUACUUAAGAAAAACCUCCAGCGAUAUGUUUCUUUAGGCGAGUGACACCUCCGCCCAUUUCGACCAUAUUACAGUAAUUGCACUUCCAAUGAAAUCUAUUUCCAUCAACCAUUUGUCCAUGUUGCCAACCAUAAUCUUCUGUUCUUUUAGGUGGCAUUAUGAUCUAUAAUUACUAAGAUACAAACAACUCAAAUAAAAUCUAUUUUAUAAAAAUUUCAAAAAAAAAAACGACAUGAGAAGAAAAAAAGGACAGAAAGUGAAGGAGAGAAUAACCGAGAAAGGGAGAGAGAAGUUGCCUGAGAAAGAGAUAAGGAAGUUACUUAAGAAAGAGAGAGGGUCGUUGCCUUAAGUAGACGAGGGAGGAGGGGGAACAUGACAAAAAAAAAAGAAAAAGGAUUGACAGUCAAAAAAAGUAUCAGAGGGGAACAUGACCACAUGGGGGAGGGGGAAUGUGACAAAAAAGAAAAAAAAUUGACAAUCAAAAUAACCAAUCAAAUGCAAAAAGACCCAAAAAAAAAAAAAGGAAAGGAAAAAGUAUCAGAGGGAAACAUGACCACAUGGAGGGAGGAGGAAUAUGACAAAAAAGAAAAAAAAGCAAUGACACUAAAAAGAAACCAUCAAAUGCAAAAAGACAAAAAAAAAAGAAAUGAAAAAGCAUGAGAAGAAAGCAAAAGGGAGAGUGGGUCAAAAGAAAACCAAGCCAAAAAGGCAACACUUGCAAAAAGAAAACCAAAAAGCAUCUUACUGUAAGUCAAAACAAAACCAACACUUGCAAAAAGACAAAACAAAAAAAAAACCAUAAAGUAAAGGAAAAAAAAAAGACUAUUUAGCACAGCACGGUGCCGCGGCACCCAGUCGCGUGCCGCUCUGUCUCGAGUGCCACGUGUCGGCAUGCAAGCGUGCCCGUGCCGUACCGUGCCAGGGCCGUGCCGGCACGCCCCCGUGCCACGGCACUUUAAACCUUGUGUAAUGGCAUAAAAUAUUUAUUUUCUUUAGCAACAAAUUAUGCCAAAGAAAAUAAAUAUACUUAGUAACAAGGAUGUUAUGCCAAAAAUAUACUUAGUAACAAGGAUUUUCUCAAUAAAGUUCAAAAGAUUUGAUAAAAAUACAUAAAAAAUAAUUGGCAUAAUUUGUUGCUAAAGAAAAUAAAUAUUUUAUGCCAUUACAUGUCGGCACACAUAUUUUUUGUGACCAGCACGCAUCGGCACGGCUCGGCACGCACCGUGCCGUAUCAUGCCGGCAAGUUUCUAGCACAACCCCGUGCCACGGCACUUAAAUCCUUGUUAGUAAGUAAAUCAUGUCAAAAUGAACGGUGGAAAUUGAACAAUCUUUAAAAUUUGAGAAUAGAACUUUUGAAUUCAAGAUCAAGGAUGUUGACCUUGAUCUAGAUAGUUUAAAGUAUUUUCUAUCAAACUAUGAAUAAAUUUAGAUUUUUUUACAUCGGUAAACUUCAAACUCACCAUAGUAGCCACUGAAAAUUAACAAAUUUGAAAUGGUUUGAUCAUAAAGUAAACUAUGUCGAAAAAAUAUAAAAUAUUAUUUCUAAAAACUUCAAAUACCCUAGAUCAGUUUUAACGGUGUUGAUCGUUUGAUUUGAGCACUCUACGAUCGAAAACAAAAGUAUAGUACCGGAGCAUCGGUACUAUAGAUAAUGUAGGAGCCUAACUCUAUAUAUAUAGUCUUGCUUUCAACCGUAGAUCAAGAUUGCUAAAACUGAUCUAGGGUAUUUGAACUUCUUAGGAAUAAAAUUUUAUAUUUUUUCGACAUAGUUUACUUUAUGAUUAAACCAUUUCAAAACUAUCAAUUUUCAAUGGCUACUGUGGUGAGUUUGUAGUUUAACAGUGUAGAAAAAUCUAAAUUUAUUCAAAUUUUGAUAGAAAAUACUUAAAAACUAUUUAGAUCAAGGUCAGCAUCCUUGUUCUUGAAUUCAAUAGUUCUAUCCUCAAAUUUUAAGGAUUGUUCAAUUUUCACCGUUCAUUUUGACAUGAUUUACUUAUUAAGUAAACAAUGUCGAAAAAAACUAAAAUUUUAUUUCUAAAAACUUUAUAUACCCUUGAUCAUAUUUAAUGGUGUGGAUCAUUGAUUUGAGCACCCUAAGAUCAAAAACAAACCUAUAGUACUAGAGCUUUGGUACUAUAGAUAGUAUAGUAGCCUCGUUCUAUACAUAUAUAUAUACAUAUAUGUAUAUAUAUACACACACGUGUAUAUAUAUAUACAUAUAUCUAUAUAUAUAUCAUUUGGCUAGUGAUCAAAAGGUCUCAAAAUUGAUAAUUUCAAUGGUAGAUGUGAUGCGUUUGUGAAUUUAACGGUGUAAAACAAUCCAAAUUUGAUAAAAUUUUUAUAGAAAAUUCUUUUCAUUAUUUAGAAUAAGAUCAGUGUCUCUAAUCUUAAAUUCAAGUCUUUUAUCAUCAUUUUUUAUGAGAUUUUUAUUUUCUUGCGUUCAUUUUUAGACUACUCAUUUGAUAGGUAAAUGAUGCUGAAAAGUUAUGAAAUUGAGUUUCCUGAUACUUUCAAUAGUGUAGGUCAAGUUUAACGGCGUCGAUCGUUGAUUUGAAAACCGCAUCAUUGAAAACAACUUUGUAGCAUGGAGGCUAUCUGUGCUACCGAUAGUAUACCAGCCUUGCUCUAUUUAUUAUAUAUCUAUGUAUACAUAUGUGUGUGCAUAUAUGUAUAUGUAUAUAUGUGUGUGUGUGUAUAUAUAUGUACAUGCAUAUUCACACAUAUAUGCAUAUAUAUUUAGAGAGAGAGUUGAGCUGGAAUGCUAUCGGUAGCAAACGGGCUCCGUUGCGACCAAUUUGCUUUCGAUGAUGGAGCCUCCAAAUUGACGAUCGGUACUGUUAAACAUGAUCUAUACCACUUGAAGUAUCUAGAAAUCAAUUUCAUACUUUUUCGAUGUUGUUCUUUUGUCCAUCAAGUGAAUAAAAAAUGAACGGCUGAAAAUGAAUAUCCUCUAAAAGUGAUGAUAGGAGUCUUGUAAUUAAGAUCGAUAGUAUAGAUCUUGUUCUAGAUAGUUUAAAGAAUUUUCUAACCAAAAUUCAAUUGAUUUGGAUAUCUUUUCACCGUUAAACUAGAAAAUGCCUCACAUUGGCCAUUAAAAUUGCAAAUUUUAAAACCCUUUGAUCAUUAGGUUAAUGACGUCGAAAAGAUUUGAAAAUUAGUUUCUUGAUACUUCAAGUGGUAUAGAUUAUAUUCAACGAUGCCGAUCGCCAAUUUGGAGGUUCCAUCAUAAAAAACAAAUGGGUGAUAGCGGAGCCUGUUUGCUACUAAUAGCCUUCCAACUCAACUCUCUCUCUCUCUCUCUCUCUCUCUCUCUCUUUCUUUCUAUAUAUAUAUAUAUAUAUAUAUAUAUAUAUAUAUAUAUAUAUAUAUAUAUAUAUAGAGUAAAUUGCAUUGUUACUCCCUAAACAUUUCGCGAAGUUUCACUUUAUCCAUCGAACUCCUAAAAUGGACAUCUAACACCCUAAACUCUAAUAUUUCAUUCAUGUUACCUCUUCCGUCAGUUUUUCGUCAAGCUCCAUUAACUAGAAACUGACGGAAGGGGUAAAACGAAUAAAAUAUUAGAGUUUAGGGUGUUAAAUGUCUAUUUUAGGAGUUUGGAGGGUUAAGUGAAACUCGCCAAAAGUUCAGGAGGUAGCAGUGCAAUUUACCCCUAGGACUCUUGACUGUAAAUUAUUUUAUUAUAAUAUGUUACUUAUGGAUUGACUACUAACCCUCAAGUUAGUGAUCAAUCUUGAUUUUGAAUUUAUAUAUAUUUUUUAUCCUAAAAUAAAUCAUACAAUAAUUUAUUCUACAUUUUAUUGUAAUAAAAUAAAAGCGAAAGAAAUUAAUUAGCGUUGCUUAAAGAUAAGAAAAGAGCGAUACUAACUACCUACAAUGCUCGAACACUCUACUGUUCUAGUGUACUCGCUAAUAUGGUUGAUUUAUAAUAGGUGUCCUCAUUCGGAGAUAGAAAUUUUAAUUCUCAGUAAUUUUCUGUAGUACUCGUUUGUUCUUUUUAUCUUUAGAAGUAUUGUUCUAAAAUAUUAUAAAAUAUUAUUUUAUAUUUUUAUUCUAAAAAUUUUUAAUUGGCUGAAAUGAAGUACAAAAAUUUUAUUUUAGGCUACAAUAAAAUUAUAUUGCAUAGUUUCAUAAAAAAUAAGUGCAUUUUCUAAUAAAAUAUUAUUUUAUAUUUUUAUAUUAAAAAUUUUUAAUUGGCUGAAAUGAAGUACAAAAAUUUUAUUUUAGGCUCCAAUAAAAUGACAUUGCAGAGUUUCAUAGAAAAUAAGUGCAUUUUCUAUAACAAUACUUCUAAAGAUCAAAGGGAAAAACGAGUAUUACAGAAAAUUAACUGAGAAUGAAAAUCUCUAUAUCCUAGUGAGGACACCUAUUGUAAAUCAACCAUAUUAGCGAUUACACCAGGACAGUAGAGUGUUCGAGCAUCGUAGGUAAUUAGUAUUGCUCUUUUCUUAUCUUUAAGCCACUCUAAUUUAUUUUUUUCGAUUUUAUUUUAUUACAAUAAAAUAUAGGAUAAAUUAUGGUAUGAUUUAUUUUAGAAUAAAAAAUAUAUAUAAAUUCAAAAUCAAGUAUGGUCAUUAACUUGAGAGUUAGUAGUCAACCCAUAAGUAACAUAUUAUAAUAAAAUAAUUUAUAGUCAAGAGUCCUACAAGGUAAAUUGCACUGCUACAUCCUAAACUUUUGGCGAGUUUCACUUAACCCCCCAAACUCCUAAAAUAUCUAACACCCUAAACUCUAAUAUUUCAUUCAUUUUACCCCUUCCGUCAGUUUCCGGUUAACAGAGCUUAACGGAAAACUGACGAAAGGGGUAACAUGAAUGAAAUAUUAAAGCAAGGAUUUAAAUGCCGUGGCACGGGGUUGUGCCGGAAACUUGCCGGCACGGUACGGAACGGUGCGUGCCGAGCCGUGCCGGUGCGUGCCGGUCAAAAAAAUUCUUGUGUGCCAACACAUAAUAGUAUGAAAUAUUUAUUUUUUUUGGCAACAAAAUAUUCUAACUAUUUAUUAUGUCUUUUUAUCACAUCUUUUAAACUUUAUUGAGGAAAUUACUUACUAAUUUAAAGAAUAGAGGUUUUUGAGCUGUGCCAUCGGCACGGGGUCUGUAUCGUGCCGAUGUCUUAUUGGCACGGUACGGCACGGUGGAUACGGCCCGUGUCGACGGGCACUUAAAACCUUGUAUUAAAGUUUAGAGGGUUAGAUGUCCAUUUUAGGAGUUCGAGGGGUAAAGUGAAACUUCGCAAAAAGCUCAGGGGGAAACAUUGCAAUUUACCCUAUAUAUAUAUAUAUAUAUAUAUAUAUAUAUAUAUAUAGAGUUGAGCUGGAAUGUUAUCGGUAGUAAACAGGCUUCGUUGCCACCCAUUUGUUUUUUAUGAUGGAGCCUCCAAAUCGACGAGCGACACCAUUAAAAAUGAUCUACACCACUUGAAAUAUCUAGAAAUCAAAUUUCAUGCUUUUCCGAUAUUGUUCUCUUGUCCAUCAAGUGGGCGUAAAAAUGAAUGGCUGAAAAUGAAUAUCCUCUAAAAAGUGAUGAUAGGAAUUUUAUAAUCAAGAUCGAGAGUAUACAUCUUGUUCUAAAUAGUUUAAAGAAUUUUCUAACAAAAAUUUAAUUGAUUUGAACAGUUUUACACCAUUAAACGAGAAAACGGCUCAUAUCUACCAUUAAAAUUACAAAUUUUGAAACCCUUUGAUCAUUAGGCUAAUGAUGUCGAAAAGAUUUAAAAUUUGGUUUCUAAACACUUUAAGUGGUAUAGAUUAUGUUCAAAGAUGCCGAUCAUCGAUUUUGAGGCUUCAUCAUCGAAAACAAAUGGGUGGCAACGGAGCCCGUUUGCUACCGAUAGCAUUCCAGCUCAACUCUAUAUAUAUAUAGAUAUGUAUGUUUGGAGAUAGAUAGAUGCAUAGAUAUAUAGUUAGUUAGGGCUAGACUACUAUUAGCAGUUGAGGAAUGGUGUUUACUACCAAUUUUUUAGCCCUUGAAUGCCCAGGGUUUACUAUUUGGUAUUUAUACUAGUAUUCAUCCAAGGACUAGAAAGUUGGUAGUAAACACUAUUCUAGUAUAACCACCAAAUAGUAAACCCUAGGCAUUCAAGGCUAAAAGAAUUGGUGGUAAACACUAUCCCUCAACUACAAGAGUAUUCUAGCCCCAACAAGUCAACAACAUAUACAAACACAUACAUACAUGCAUAUUUGUAUAUAUGUAUGUAUGUAUGUAUGUAUGUAUGUAUAUAUAGUACGUCUCCUAUAAUUUCGAAAGCACAGAGGUCUUCAUUCUUUCAAGUUGUUUUCUAUGAUGAGAUAUUCGAUUUGAUGAUCGAUUGUGUUAGAUAUGAUGUACGCUAUUUGAAUUAUCUAGGGACCAAAUUUCGUAAAUUUCAGCCUCAUUUGCCAAAUAAUCCAGGGGUCUUAAAAUUGACUAUUUUAAUGGCCAAUGUGGUAGUUUAUAAGUUUAAUGGUAUAAAAAUUAUCCAAAUUAGGUGAAAUUUUAAUAGAAAAUUCUACUUAUCAUCAAUAGCAAAAUCAAUAAUUCCGAUUUAAAAUUUGUCUUUUAUCACUAUUUAUCAAGCUCCGGGCCCCUUAGAAACUAUUUUUGGAAAAAUCCUUCUAUUUAGAAAACAGAGUUUGCGGAAAAGCAUAUAAAUUUUUUUGGAACCUUAUUCGAGACGCGCGCAGACCUGCCCCAUGCACAGGUUUUUCUUUGUCCAAACGGAUAGUCUUUUUUGUACAUGUACGGAGUAGGAGCACAGAUAAAACAACCACAAGCAACCUGAACAAGGAGGAUAUCAAUAUAAUAAAUACAACAACUAUUAACAAUCCAAAAAUCACAACCAAGAAUUCAUAAACCACGACAAUAGGAAAACCCGAUAAUAGCUCUAAACACAAGGCUACAAUACUGAAGUACAUAAUCUCCACGUGAUAAAAAUAUAACAAAUGAAAGGUAAAUCUGAACUAGCAACCAAGAUCCACGGUACGAGCUAUCCCGGCCCUACUUCUCACGUAGCGUCCCGACCCACAUUGUCAGCAACACCUGUAAAAAAAGUGGGAUAAGAAACAUAUAAAUAAAUUUUUCAGUGGGGGCAACCAGUGGCCGAAGGCAAGUCACACUCACUAGUACGAUAAAGAGACAACAACAAUAAUAAGAAGAUAACUGCAUAUAGUCAAUUGAAAUAUAGACAUGAUCAACUAUAGUGGCAUGAAAAUAGUAGGUAUGGAUCAUGGUAUGAAUAUAAUCUACUGCCGCUACCGUAGCGAGAGUCAUAUAUAAAUGCGAUGAAGAUAUUAGCUGCCGUAUCAAAGUAAAACAUAAUCAGAUAUUGUGAAUAACUAUACGAGAGAUGUCGCUACUUGUAAUCAAAACAACUAACCGAAAGCCAUGCACAACUCAAAUAGAGGCAUUAUGCAUCAACUGGACAUAUGAAUCGUCCAAAGUCAUACCCAAUCACUAUGGCUGCCAUAAAGGCCCAACAAAAGCUUGCCCACUAGUUUGCGAGGAUGAAUAACCAAGUUCCACUCCGAAGUGAUACAAUAUACUACACCUAAAAUCGCUUACCCUAUCUAAGAGUGAUGAACCUGUGUAAGAGCAACCCCUCCAACUAGGCUGGUAAACUCAAGCACUCAAGUUUGUGAACCCUGUCUAAGCGCAACAACGCUAUCUCAAGCUAUAGUCUGAUGUGUAUGCUCAAGGCUCCAACAAUUUAACUCAACAGUUUGACCAACGCCCGUAGGCAACUUGAGAAGCUAAGAAAUAAUCUCAAAGAACAUCAAAAGAAAUAAGGUCCAUAGUAAAAGAUUUAAGUGCCGUGGGACGGGGUCGUGCCGGAAACUUGCCGGCAUGGUACGGCACGAUGCGUGCCGGGCUAUGCCAAUGCGUGUCGAUCACAAAAAAUAUAUGUGUGCCUAUACGUAAUGGCAUGAAAUAUUUAUUUUCUUUAGCAACAAAUCAUGCCAAUUAUUUAUUAUGUAUUUUUAUCAAAUCUUUUGAGCUUUAUUGAGAAAAUAAUUACUAAUUCCAAAAAUAGAGGGUUUUGAGUUGUGUCAUUGGUACGAGGGCUAUAUCGUGCCGAUAUUUUGCUGGCAUGAUACGACACGGUAGAUACGACCCAUGCGGAUGGACGCUUUAAUCCUCGGUCCAUACCCACAAGUAUAAUCAUAAUCUCAAGGUCGACUAGCAUGCUACACUACAUGAGUAUCAAGGUAAAUGACGAUAAAUGCAAGUGAUGGAGGUGAAGCAUGCUAAAGUCCCAAUCAUGAAUAGGAUAAGCCAACCGACUUCUAAGGUCAAAUGUCAUGAAGAAGGGAUCGGCCAAGUCAAAUCUCAUGAUAUAGGCACCGACCAACUAGGUCAAAUCUCAAGAAGUAGGCAUCGACCAACUAGGUCAAAUCUCAUAGAGUAGAUCCGUCGACCACAAGGUCAUAUCACAUAAGAGGGAAUAACCGACUGAUGAGGUCUAAUCACAUAGAGGUAAAGCGGCCGACUAACAUGGUCAAAACUAAAGAGUGAACAUCGACCUAUUAUGUCCUAUCAUAGUCACGUGGGUAAGCAACUAGAUCAUAUCCUAGUCUACAUGUCACACAUCUGCAAUAGAUGGAGAACAAUAACACUAAUCAUAAGCAAUACGAUAAGCAAUGUGAUUAAGCAACAAACAUGUAAGGUACCAAGCAUGCAGGAAUACGGAGUCGUGAUAAGUUGUACUACUCAACAACUGUAAGGGAAUAGAAUGAACAUAGAAGAAACCGAGUAAAAUACAACUUUACCAACUUCAGAUUGAAGCACCCAUUGCACCAAGUAUCCGAGUCAUCGACUCGACCGAUGUUUGUAGAUAUCACAUGUACCUAGACAAGACAACCAAAUACGAUCAUUAGCCCUUACGUGUCAUCUAUACCAACCAACACGACCAAAACACAACAUCAGGUCCAACGACACAAAAAGAACAAUAGUUCCACAAACCGACUUCUGGAACUAAGCCUAACGACUAAUCGACUCAACAGAGAACCACGACAACAUUUUCGCUAUCCUGAGCCGCACUAUUUUAGGUCUCGGAACAACAGCAUGCCAAGUGUUCGACAAAAUAGAAAACGACUGCAGAACUAGGCCACAAUGGAACCGAUAGGCACCUAUUUGGUAUUUCGGACACCACUUUGGUGCCGAAUCACGCACGCAUUGUGUGUUCAGCCCAUGCUGUCAACCCCCUGUCACACUAAAUUGUGAGAUUUAUGUCACCUACAACUCACAAUGGCGCAAUCUGAACAUCGAACCCACUUACCGACUUUUGGAAUCUGUCAAUUUCCGCAUAAAACUCAUCGGUUUGCCACUUCAGCCCACGAAGUGUCCCGAGUUAAACCCAACAUUUGCAAAUCUCAUCCUCUAUCCGAAACACCUCAUUUUAGGUGGUGAGAUUGCUGCACGCAAAGUGUGUGAUAACGGGAGCCACAACUUAAAAAAUAAGCCAAAAGGGGUUCCGGGAUACCUAUUUCUGUAUCAGACCCAAUCUACAUCGUACUCGCUGCCACGAGGCACAUAGCAAGGCUAGGCCAGCCAACAAGGCUCGAUAACCAAUUUGGAUAGCAACAACUCGGAUUUCGCGAAACGAAACCAAAACCCACUAUAUCGAUAUGAUUUCGGCUCAACUUGUGUCGUUUUGCAUAAAAUCAGCCACGAGGUUUUCGGACCUCGGACAAUUGGUCCAAACAUCAACAUUGCAAAAUAACGCCAUCCAACACUACCCACGAAAAGCGUUGAAAAGCCCAAUUCAUGCCAUAACCAUGUAAAUAGCACCUACAAUAGUAGUAAAAGCAGAUUUUGAAUAUUUUACCUGAACUUCCGCAAAUCGGAAGUCAACCCAUGAUGCAUAGGGUCGACGACGUGCCUCUGGCUGCAACGGAACACCACCAAGUCCUCACUAACAUUCAUCGACGGCCGGAGAGUGAGAAGCAACCGCACGGCGGGGUUUCGAGUACACAAUGGGUGUUUGGAUUGCACUAGCGAGGUAAGCACAAUGUAGGGGAAGGCCAGAGGAUCACCGUGCUUCCAAGAAUAGAGAUCGUCGGCCACCGGGUUGAGCGGAAAAACCAACCACCAAAAAGAUCAAUUGCUUCGAGCACCGGGCAGGCGAUUGUGAAACCAGUGAAUCGAUGUAGAUCUGACUGUAACUCAGGGGAGCAUGGGCAUGUAGGGACAUCAAGGGAUGCUGUGCUUGCUAGAGUGAGGCUGCUGGAAACUGUGGUUGGCCGACGGAGCAACCUCGGGCAACAAGAGGGAUCAAUAAAGCAAUAGCAACAGUAGCAGCCCAAGUAGCAAUUUUGGAAUACUUUUGACUGGACUAGGAGCUGGGAGAGGUUGGUCGGAGCUAAGCGGCGCUAGGGAGCACACUGGCCGAUGGCGGCUCUUGAGGGCGGCGGGCACAGCUGGAAAAGUAGCAACCGAAAAUUGGCCACGGGUUACCGUUGGAGAAGCGGCACGGUUUAAGAGUGGCCGCAAGAUGGAGGCGUUGCUGGAGGGGGGUCACCAGAGUGGGGCUUAGCAGCAGCGGCGACGCUCCGGGUCGAGGAUCUCCUCAAACAAAAGAGAGAGAGAGAUCUUGAGAGAGACUUUGAGAGAGAUAGAUUGCGGGAGGGAGAGCUUCGGGGUUCACCUAGCCAGCCGAAGGCUUGUUGGAGCAUGCCGGAAUCUGGUGACACAUGGGGCAGGGGGCAGCGGGCAGCGGCUAUGGCUAUAGGAGAGGUUGAGAGGGAGAGGUUAGGUUUAGGUUUAGGGGUUGGGUAUUAAUACUAUAUUUUUUUUCAUUUGUAACAUUUGCACUCUAUUCCCCGGACAGUCCUCCUCUUGCUCACAACCCCACAACAUAGCGCACUUUCCGCAGAAGCCCUUCUAGCAUUUGUGCUGCCAUUUUGCAUAGAAAUCUUCGAAUCUCGUGAAACUUGAAUUCUCGCAUCCCUCUUUGAGUCAACUUUCUUAUGAAUUUCUCUGCUCCCCAAAACUCCAAACUUUCUCGCAUAAAAUGAUAACCUUUUUGCGUAUUUUUCUUUUUUCUCAUUUUAUAAAAAUUAUAGUUUAGCCCCCCUAGUUCACAAUUUCUUAUCCAAAACUCACCCAUAGGUGUGUUUUGCUCAUAAGUUUCACCACCUAAAAAAUUGUGCAAUUUGACACAUGAAAUGUUGCGCUUUUUGAAUAAAAAUUCCAUUUUAACAAUUUCGCAGUUUUUUGAUUUUAUCUCCAAAAUAUCACCUUAUCACACAAAACUGCACCGAGGUCCCUCUUAUGACUUACAACACUAAAAGACCUCGAAGUUGACAAUUUUUGUUUCGUUGAGAAAUAGUCCAGUUAUGUGAUAAUCCUCCUCCUUUAGGAAAAUUAUUGUAAAAAUCUUAGGUUCUACACUUUUUUUUAUGAGAUUUUUAUUUUCAGCCAUUCAUUUUAAGGCUACAAGUUCACUUGGUAAAUAGUGUCAAAAAAUUAUGAAAUUUGGUCUUUACAUAGUUCAAACAGUGUAGAUCAUGUUAAUAGAGCUGAUUGCCAAAUUGGAUUUCCUAUCAUCGAAAACAAUUUGAAAGCACGGAGGCUUCCGUACUUUCGAAAGCAUAGUAACCUAGCUCUCUCUCUCUCUCUCUCUCUCUCUCUCUACAUAUAUAUAUAUAUAAUAUAGGGAUAAUAUCUAAUAUAUCCUUCAAAACUUUAAAAAUAUCUAAUAUACCCCCGGUGGACCAAAAUGCCCUUGUUGAUUUUCAAAAGUUCGUUCAAAUAUACUCCUAACCCUACGUUUAGGAUUUACUACUUUGGGAAUAGACUGGUGAAUUUGAAAAUUUUGAAUAGUGAGGAGUGUAUAAGCAACAGCCCCAUAUAUAUGUCUCACAUACCUGAAAUAAGUCUAAUUAUUGGCUCGUCCCUAAUGCAUCCUGAAUUAUCGUGACUUUUCUGUAAUUUAUAUAUUUUUCAUUGUUUAUUGUUUAUUCAGUUAUCUGAAGUCGACAACAACUCAAUGUAUUUUAAGGACACAAUAUGUUAUUGUUGUUUCAUUUUGUUUCCUAGAGGCUGGAAAGACAGUUUCUUCCCCUACUAAGGUCGAUUGCUUGGUUGAUGUUACUGUCAGAAUGGCUGCGCUGGGUGCAGAGCACUCAAUUGUUGUGACAGGUGACAUGGGAUGCAGACCCUGUCUAGGCAUAACUUUUCUGUACAAAAGUAUUUAUAUCGCCCAGAAGUUGGCAUAACAUCUCUCUCAUCUAAUAUUUCUCUUUGCAGAUGAAGGCAAUGUCUUGAGUUGGGGAGCCGGCGGAGCCGGUAGACUUGGUCAUGGACACCAAUCUAGCAUAUUAGGAUUCUAUGUGAGCUCAAGGUUUGAGUACAUUAUCAUGUCAAUUCUAACUUCUUAUAUGAUUUGAUCUCAUUGGUGGAAAGCUAUCUAUCAUGCCCUAAUCCCAGCUUUCUGACCCUAAAAUGCAACUAUCGGCUACAUCCUGAAGAGUAAAACCUUUGAUGGAAGGCCUUAAUGCCAUGAAUAGCCGCAACCAUGAAUAUCAAAAUUAUUAUUAAUAUUUGAAUUAAAAUUCAACAUAUAUUAAUUUAACAAAAUAAACCACCAUUGCCUUCCCGACAUCAAGUUUAGAGAAAAACUCAAUAAUUAAUUAUGAACCAUAACAAACCUCCUUUAUUGCUUUCAAAAUUUUGCAAAAGUUUUUUAUCCAAUGUAGGAGCCUGGCUUUUUAAGACCAUCGUAUCACACCUAAACCAUCCAAUCCUGAGCUGUAAUGAAAAAGUUGUAAUAAAUUUGCCGGUCAUCCCUUAGAAUAAAACCUGUUCUUACAGAUUAGUCCCUGGUUAAGCAUCUAACCCAACCAACAAUGUUAAAAUUGGAAAUUUAGACAAGCAUUUCUGUGUUGAAAUAAAAAGUUCCUGUUAUGGUUUUCAUUUGCUGGAUUGUUAAUACAAAUAGUUCAUGGUAAAGAUCAAUCAAGUUAGGUCUCUUGGUUGCUAUAUGACUGCCCAUUCCAUGUCAGCUUAAGUGAAUUUAUUGAAGCGAAAAUGAAUUCAGUUCUUUUCUGUAGCCUGAAAUCAUCUACUGUAAACAAAACAUGAAAAUAGGAUAGAUGUAUCAAGCAUGAAAUCGUUAGGACAUAUGGAAAUUAGGGUAGGUUAGUAUGGCAAUGUUAGUUUGCUAAAGGAGUACAUGGAGUUAAUGACUAAGAUGGAGUAGAUGCUUUCAAGAAAGAUUUGAUGAGAUUUUGACAAAAAGAAGUGUUAAAAUAUAGGUUGAAUGAGUAAGUAGGACCAAAAUGGAAGAACGAAGAAGGUGUUGUUUGGAUUGCAAAGAAUUUUGACAAGCUCGUAACAGAAUGCUAGGAACAAUGGGCAAAAUUUUUAUAAGAAAGUAGUCAUCAUGAUCUUUGUUGCUCACAAUCUACUUCACUGUGGUCAUGCAAAAUCAUUGGCUUUAAAGCAUUUCGGUAUGACGGCUGUUAAACACUCAAAAUUAAUGGUACUUUGUUGCUUGGUUCUGCAAACAUGAUAUAUUUUGUGACCCUUGUUUCAUCAAGCUUCAAAUUGUUUCAUCAAGCUUCAAAUUGUUUCAUCUAUUUUGAUAUGAUGCAUCCAUUUUGAUCUAUGUGUCCUUUAGAACCAUCUGCCGUUGAUCAUGAAACAUGAGGUUAUGUGAUUCACUUCUGAUAAUGGCUGAUCUUGCGGACUGAAAGUGAUGACUUGCUAUGUGGUGUUUUUAUAUUUAUCAAAUCUUCCAGUGCACUAAUGUUAUGAUGUUGUGGACGUAACACAAAAUCUCUCUUUGUAGUAGUGAAACUAGGUUUGCUUGUCGCCAUGCAAAAUAGUACUAAAUGGUCCAUUUAUGCAGUGAAUGCACUCCAAGGUUGAUCAAGUACUUUGAUGCUAUUAAGGUAAACAUGCUUUGAAAAGUUUAACAUGGCUUGCUUUUUGCAUCACUUGCUGUAUGUAUAAUCUUGACUUGUAGAUCAAGAGAAUUGCUGCUGGGAUGUUGCAUUCAGCUUGCGUAGAUGGUAAAUCUAAGAUUAGAUGUUGAUCAAAUGAUUAAUCUAUGAUUUUAUUGUAUUGAUUUGUUUUCGUAGCAAUAUUCCCUCUUACUUGCACAUUGCAGAACAAGGGAUUGUUUACAUAUUUGGGGAAAGGACGGUCAAGAAAAUGGUAUCAAGUCAAGCCAUACAAUAUUGUAACCAUUCUUAUGGUUUUACAAGAUUUAGUUCGUAUUAGUUGUCAGUAGCUAAAGAUUUUCUCUUUUUCACCCAUAUGACGUCAAGGGCUUUGGAAGAACAAAUAAUGCCUCAACACCAUCUGCUAUGAAGGAGCUUCCAUUUUCAUCGGCGGUCGCUUGUGGUGGUUACCACACUUGUGUCAUAACAAGUAUAAUCAUCAUCUCAGCGCUGGCAGAUAGUCAUAGUUAUUUACUAAUAUUGGGCAUAAAAUCAUUUGAGUAACUAAAUUAGUUAUCCAAGUGGUAAUUAUUUUAUUUUUGCCUGUGCUGCAUCCAAUGGUGGCGCUAUAUGCUCUGAAUCACACUAUAAAAAAAUGUCUGAAAACUUCUCUAAUUAGAUUGUUACAAACUACAUCUGGUACCAUUACUGGGCUCUGCAUUAAUUUUGGCUAGUCAACAUUGCUCUGCAUUUACCAUGAACUAUCUUGAGGAUUUUAUAUGCCAUGCACAGUCUCGUCAAGUGACUGCAUGGAGGGUUCUGCUGCUGAGAAGACAGCAGUGGCUAGCAGUGCCUGAGGGCUUCGAUGGUGCUGAUUUUCGGCUUUUUAAGUGACAGAGAAAUGCGUUCUAUGGGUGAGGGUCUGAGGGCUUAAAUGGCCAAUUUAUUUAUUUUUUAUAUUUUAUUUUUAUUUUUUCUCCUUCUUUGCUCUUUGGGAGGCAGAGGAGGGCAGAGGGAGAGGGGGUGGGUUUCCAAAUCAGGCAGUUGUGGUGGUGCAAUUACAGGAGACUUCGAGAAAGAUACACGAUAUCUCAAGAAGCAUCAUGAAAUUUGUGAAAGCUUUUAGCUCGUGUCAAGUAGAAAACUAGUAACGAAAAGGAGUAUUAUGGAACUAUUGUACAACUAGUCUUUCUUCUUUCUAAAGCUUCAUCAAUUUGAUUUCUACUGUUGCGCCAUUUGAUAUUUUCAAGCAGUUCAAUAGGUUAGUCUAGUUUGGCUUGGUCUAGUUUGGGUUGCUUAAUACCUUAUUUCCAUUGUAUUCUAUUUGAAGCUUUGUUUUGGUUCAAGAGAUCUACUGAAAUUAUUUGUGGUAGAAUGUGCAUGCAAGGUUUUAAGUGCCCGUCGGCAUGGGCCGUAUCCACCGUGCCGUACCGUGCCAACAAGAUACCGGCACGAUACAGAUCCCGUGCCGAUGGCACAGCUCAAAACCCUCUAUUCUUUAAAUUAGUAAAUAAUUUCCUCAAUAAAGUUCAAAAGAUGUGAUAAAAAGACAUAAUAAAUCAUUAGAAUAUUUUGUUGCUAAAGAAAAUAAAUAUUUCAUUCUAUUAUGUGUUGGCACACAAGAAUUUAUUUGUUCCGGCACAACCUUGUGCCAUGGCACUUCAAUCCUUGUGUGCAUGAAAUGAAGAUAUGAACCGGUGCAUUUAACAAGUAUUACGCUUUCAAGUUAGAACCAAUUUAACUUGUAAGGCACUCAUAGGCCUUCAUACCUACUUGCACUGUCUACAAUUUAGACCCAUUGGGCUAUUCCACACCUUUAUUUUUCGUCUAUGCUAGUGAAGCCUAUUUCCUUCUGCAGGUGAAGGAGAAUUGUACACAUGGGGUUCAAAUGAAAAUGGCUGCCUCGGUCUUGGGUAUUUUCAGUUUCUUGCACAUAAUGCCGUAAAAAGACCUUGAACAAAAUAUUUAUUUGCUGAAUAAGCAAAAUUUUCUGACUUCAAAGACAGUUUGGCUUAUAAUCUUCCUCUUGUCAGUUUCACAGAUAUGGUCCGCACUCCUCAAUGUGUCAAGAAAUCAUCUUUUAGAUUUCCUGUAUCUGAGGUCAAUACUGUUUAUAACUGUUGAAUUUAACUGUUGGUCUUCUAACUUCAUUUUCUAGUGCAUCAUAAAUAUAACGUAUUGCUCACUGUGCUUUCUUUCUCAUUUCUUUAUGUACAUGUUUGCUUCAGGUAUCUUGUGGAUGGAAGCACACUGCCGUCAUCUCAGGUCAGUCGUUGACUCUUUGAACAUCAGAGCAAAUGCAAUUACAAUACUUUUCCAUGCCUUUUGCUUAUGUGACCAGCCCUGCUAAAUGCUGCUAUUCUAUCCUUUGCAUCUUCUCCUUUCGAUAAUCUAUUUGCAUCAAUCUUUCUUGCGAUUUUACAUUUUCGCUAUAGUUAGUAUUUUUAAAGAUUUAUCCAUCCGGCAUGAAUGCAUGAACUUACUGGUUGUAUUUUUCGACUCAACUUGUGGAAUGUUGUUAAUUUUCAUUACCUCGCACUCAACUAAUUAUAUAUUAUGUUAAGCUGAUUCUUUGUGCUUGUUGUAAAGCCGUAAAGGUUUCAGCCUUUCUAAAGAGGGAGUUCCCUUCCUCUUCCUUCCUCUUUUUUUUUUCUUUUUUUUUUUUUUUCAAAAAUUGCUUCUUUCUGACUAUGUAAUGCCCAUCAUCUUCUAACAAUAUGAGCUAUCGGAUCUAAACAUUUUCUGAUUGGUAUCUUGCAGCUGUUUGAUAUAUACUUCAUUUUAUAUUUUUCAUUUUGUGAAAUAAUUAUGAGCCAUCAGAUCUAAUCCAAUGAAUGAGACAAGAGGCAUCUGUCGUUAUUUCUUUACCAGAUUUCCCUCUUACCUUUUUAAUUCAAUAAGAAAAAUCAUUCUAAUUCCGAAAAGUAUUAUCCCCUUUUUUCUCACCCUCUUGACUUUUUAAUUCAAACGAUAAAAAUCAUUGUGAUUCUAUCCAAUUCCAAAAAUUACUUUUCGCCUCUUUCUCACCAAUUCUUAAUUACCUUUUUUGAACAAAUUAUCUUUGAAUGUUAUUCCUAAAAGAUUAUCGGCAUGCUUAAAUAUCCUCCAUCACUCCUUCUAUCUCUACAAUACAACAGACCUCUUAAUCUUCCUUUUUCCACCCACUCCAACUCCUUCCACACGUCACUUUCUCCUUCCAUACUAUUCCACACCUCGCCGGCACAUCGUCGGUGUUCAAUGUGUAAAACUCGGU
rnacentral:lncRNA from 1 species